rnacentral:lncRNA from 1 species
UUUUUUUUUUCCUCUUUUUUCGCAUGUUGUUAAUUUGUCAAAAUUAUGAGAAAGUUUGGAUUUUUGUGGCUAAAUAGAAUUAUUUAGAUAUUAUCGAGUUAUGCAUAGUAUGAUUGUUGAACGAUAUUUCACUUUUAGAGAUGCUAAACUUUUAUUCUAAUUUUCUUACUCCCUUUGGAUUGUUAUACGUGUUCUUUGGGUGUGUAAAGACUUGAUUCAUGUCUCUCUUUGAGUCAUAAUGUCAAAAGAUAAUCAACGAUGUCUUAGAACGAUAAAUCAUAGGUCGUUACAUGUUCUCCCUAAAGUUGGCCAUGACUUAGAUGUAUGAAUCUUUGUUAAUUUCUCGUUGAUUGAAAUUUUAAAGAUUCACUUUCUUGAAAAGUUAGCCUUUAUUUUCUUUUUUUAUAUGAAUUAGUUUCUAUGUUUGUUCAAUUUUAGAAUUCAUAAGUAUUUUUCUUAUCGCCUCAUCCCUUUACUCUCGCAAACUUUCGUUGUUUGUUCUCACAUUAAUUCAUUGAAUAUGAUCUUCUUCCUUUUACCUUUAUUCAUUCUUAUAUGAAUAUAAAUCAUAAGGCAUGUAAGUGGGUGUCUUUACUUUGUAUUUUAUUUGUUGAUUCUCAUUCUUGUGCAAGUGUACUUAUCAUUGUCAUUCAAAAAUUAGAUCUUGAUAGUUUCUUUUGCUUUGAAAUAUGUCACUUUUAUGCCUUGAACAUAUAUUAAUUUCUUUAUCUUUUCUUCGCAUGCAAAAAUGUCUCAAGUUCAAAUGGACUCCUCUCCUCUUGUAUUACGUAAUGGGCCAAUAAGGCCCACCUCUUCGAGUCAAAUUCGAAGUUUAAACCCAAGGUCGACUACAUAGCGUGCGGGUACUAGAAGAUAGAUGAAGAAGAAAACUAGAUCAAAACCCAUUGAUGAGGUCACUAAGAUACUUGAAAAGUCUCGAUUUUUAUUAUUGUCUCCUUUUUAUUUAUUCAAUUAGUCAUUUAUUUAUUCAUUCAUUUGGGCCUCGAAGCCAAAGUUGUAUUUUAAUACAGGUGAGGCAGAUUUUGGGUCUCAAGGGUCCGAAAACUAGCUUAGGACAGGUUAUGGGCUGAAAGCCCAAUAUUUAGAUUAGGACAGGUACAAGUGAGCCAAAAGUCCCAUUAGAUUAGGACAUGGUCUAUUGAUUUGGGCCCAAUGGCCUAAGUCUUUUAUUUUCUCCUCUUCCCCUUUUACAUGCUUUAUUAUUAAUUUGUUUAGACUUAGUUAAAAUCCUUACUAAGUCAUCCAAAUCUAUUUUACACAAGUAUUUUCCUAAAAUCAAUUACUUUUCAACAAUAAAUCUUUCUUUUUGAAGUUAGUCAGAAGAUAUUUUCAAACAGUCCGGAUAUCCGCAAGUUAGCGGAUACUCUUGGUGCCUUAACAACCUUUCAAGAGUAUUACUAGAACCGCUUACUCAAAAUCUUCAAACUGAAAUGAUUUUUUUUGUUUUGGAUUGUUUAAGUAACUUUCAAAGGUUUUCUUAAUUCCUUUCCAAAUAGAUUAAGUGGAAACUCUUAAAAAGUCAAAAUUUUUGCAAAACAUAAAUGGUGACUCUGCUGGAAAUUCUAACUAAGUUCUAAUAAAAUAUUUUAUUUUAUUUUUUGACUAACUAUUUAAAUUACUUAUGUGUUUAUGUGUUUCAAUUUUUGCGGAAUUUAAUUAUUGCAUCUCAUAGAAUAAUCCCACAUGGAUUAUUAAAUUAUUUUGGAGUUUCAUGGAUGUUCUGGCCCUUAUUGCUCAACUCCAAAUAAAAUGUUGAAAAUACGACGGUUUAUUAGCACGUAAGGCAUCUGAUGGCUACUGUUCGUAUUUCCAAACCCAAUUCAUCCACUUGAGAACCUGUUCCCAACCCACUAUAGACACCAGGAUAAGCUAAACCAAAACCCUUUUAGGUAUAAGCCUAGGACGACACAAUAUUCGAAGGGGGUAUUGGAAAACUUUCCCUGCAUCUAUUGAUCCCGAGUUAAUUAUAGAUGAAUCAUAUUGAUGUGUUGAAGAAAUAUAUAUUUACUUAAUCCUAUCCAUUAUCCUUUGGGGUUCGGGAGAAGGCUUGAUUUGCUUACUUUCAUGUAAGGACGCCUCAGUCAUACACUAAUUAAGGGAGGAAUUGAAGCAAGCAAAGCAAGAAGUUGAUCGAUUUGGAUGAUUGCAUGGAUUCUCAGAUUGAUAGCAUAAAAAAUGACCUAUGACAACAAAGAACAGUUAUGCGAGAGUCAUCUGAUCAUCAACAAAUAUCAAAUAUCGCAGGAGGUGAACAAGGCUAAGAAGGCAAGGGCAAACGAAGGAGCAUCCAAUAGCUAGUUUUUCUAUUCCCCUGCUUAGGACCUUAUUUUCUUUCAUGUUAUCUCCCUUCCUUUAAAGAUUAUAUCCCUCUUUUGUUAACUCUUGUAGGUAUUUAUUCCCUAUUACAUAUCUAUGAAAGUCGGGGGAUAAUGGAUUGGCUUUAAAAACGCAUAUAUUUUCUUUAAAAUUCAUGAGGCCUAAACCUUUGGCUCAAAAGGGUCACCCCAGUUAGGAUACGCGUUAUUAUAUUAUUUUUAUGUGAUAUAACUGCCUUAUGUGUUUAUGUGCAUUUGUUUGAAUCAAAGACAAAUUUAUCCACUAUGCUCCUGUGAAUCAGUUUGUCUAUGACACAAAAACCUCUAUGUGGUUACUUAUUGUCAAAUAUCUUGUAUUGUCUAACACCCCGUGUUUUUCCUGGCUUAAAAUUCGUUCCUAGAAUGUUAAGAGUGUGCUUCAAAAAUGAAUAACCUUUAUUUCAUACGAAAUUUUCCAGAUUUAUACCUUCCCUUGUGUGGAAAAUUGAAUAAGUUUUCCAUCAAUAUCAAAUUAGCCCAAAUUCGACACUCGAUGAAAAAGUUAGAGCAUUGUUAGUAAUGCAGUGUUCCACCUAGGCACUCACCGCAUUACGGUGGAUGCCAAAAUGGCAAUCGUCACAUUCCAAUGGACCUCAAUGAUAUUUGCACAUUGCGGAGAGGUCCAAUUUCCCAAUUGUCAAUUUCCAUUGGCGCAACACGAUAGCACCGCAUCGCGCCAGACUAUAAAUUCACACUCAUCCUUUUCUAGUAGCUUAACGUGAUUUCAACGCGUCGCGGUGAAGGUGUCAUUGUCGUACUCUUGAUCCAUAAUUCGAAUUCUUGUGUUAUGACUUUAAUCCUAAGUAUGUGAAGUCCUUAUUAGGUAAAUAAUGUUCAUAGAAGUCACUUAGAGUCAAGUGGAUCUAAGAACAUUAGAUUCUACCAAAAUUUGGCAUUCAAUCCUACAAGGUUCUAUUUUAAACAUGUAUAACAUUUUAUAUACGUGGAAUAUUUCAUCCCAAGACCCACCAAAUUAUAAAUAAUUGAAUUAGCUUUCCGACGAUACCAAUUUCGCAAAAAUCUGAUACCCGAACGAAAAGUUAUAGCCAUUUUAGUGUGAGGCAGUGAGCUACUGCGAUGGUAACACAUCGCGCUAAAGGGCAAAAUUGGGAUGCGGGUUAUGAAUUUCUUCUUUAAAUUAAUAAGGAGAAAUGGGGUCUUUUCCCACCUCAACCCAGGUCGUAAAAACACGAUCUAAGGCUUUAAAUGGGGCAUUAUUUGCUCCCAUUCUCCAAUUUAUCCCUCAAGAACAACCCUAAUCAAGUUCCUCAAGAAUCAUCAAUUCCAUCUUCUUCUCUUCAAAAAAAAGAUCAAGAAUUUAGGGUUUCUAAUCCAAGAACAUCAAGAAUGAUAUCAAGAUCAUCUCCAAAGUAUUCAAAAUUCAAGAUUUUACAUUCAAGUUCAUCAUCCAAGCUCCAAGAUUCAAGCUUUCUUCAUCAAAUCAAGUCAAUUAAGGUAUGUGGGGUUUGAACAAAGACAAUCCUUUCGUCCUUGUGCCCAAAACUUGUUAUAACUUAUAAAUUACUGAAUUUUAUGUGAUUUUCCGUGAAAUUGAAGUUAGGGUUUAUACCCAAUUUAUAUUGUUUGAAGAUUAUGAGUUUACAAGUAAUUGAAUAUUGAAUUGCAUGACUAUUUUCAUAUAUUUAUGCGCGUAACACAAUUUUCCAGAUUGUUGAAAGUGAGUUUCAGUAUGAUAUUGAGAUUCUUGAUCUAAUUAUUUUGAUGGUGUUGAAGUAUUUUCAAGAAGCAUAUAGAGUUGGAUGUUUUUCUAUGAUUUUGAUGUUUAUAUAUGAGUUCUAAAUUGGGAUUCAUACCCAUUAUCACUAUUUACAUAAUUUUGAGUUUUUGAGAGCUAUUGAAGAUAAAUUUCAUGAGUUUGUUUAUAUUUUCAUGAGCAUUUCUGAAAUUUCCAGAUUUUAAUAUGACUUACGAAUGUUUGUGUUAUCAAUCAUGAAUUUUGAGAUAUUUUGACAUGAUUUUAAAGCAUGAGCUUUGAUCCCUGAGAUUGAAUUUUGAUAUUUCAAGAAGCUUAUAUUUUUAGCAUGCUUUGAUAAGCAAGAUUUGAUCUUUUGAUCCUAAGCUAAGAUAAGGCAUCCAUAUUAUUCAUAUAAUUCAUGAUUUAUAGAAAAGAGAAGCGUAAUUGGUUUUAAUUAUAAACCCUUAUGCUAUUUUCUGGUGGAUUUUCUAAAAGUUUUGAGCCUAAGUAUGGGAUUAGUAUUUAGCACCGAGUUUGGUAUGAUUCCAAGGUCUCAUACCCCAGAACUACAUGCCACCGUAGGAUUGAGAUUUAUUAGCCCGAGGCGGAGAUAAUGAUCACUAAAGUUAAGGUUCUAUUCUGAUGGAAAGGGUAGAACAGCUCUCCCCAACGUGGGCAAGAUGUUGGACUCCUUGUCAGCUCACACGGUUUAUGUCGGUUAGAAGAACCUCCCAAAGAAGACCCCUACUCUUUAAAUAGUUUAUAGAUUUAUAGUCUUAGUAUAUAUUUUGAAAGUUAAUAUUUUAAGAUUUCCAAAGUUUUAUGUCUCAAUGUCUCUAAAAGUGUUAUAGUCUUAAAGUUCCUAAGUCUUUGAGUCCCAAGUCCUAAGUUUCCCAAAGUGUUGUAAUUCUUAUAUUUCAAAAGAAGUCCCUUAUUUUCAUAAGAUUAAAGUAUAUGUUCUAAAAGUUAUUAUUUUAAUAUUUCAUCUAGUUGACAAGAUUUGAGAAUAAGAAGAGGAUACAAAUUUUAGAAUAAGGUGUAAUGACUCACGAGAUUUAUACUACAUAUUUCCUUAUUCAUGAUUUAUAAGAUUUAGAUUUCAGUUUUUACUCAAGCUAUGUGAGUCAUUUAUAUCAGCAUGCAUGAUUUCUAUAAAGAUUGAUGAUAUUAUUUAACUAAUUGGAUACACCCCUAUAUACUCAGUACAUCCUCAAAGUACUGAUCCAUAUAUCUGUCUAUGUGCUACAUUGUCUCAUAAUGUAGGUACAAGUUGUAGCGCAUAUACCAUAUUUAGUCAGUCCGCAGCUUCCUGUCAUCAGGUGAUGAGUCCUUUUGAUUCAAGAGCUUGAGUUAGUUAUACAGCUUGAGAAGUGUUGUAUUUUCUUUAUUUGGUCGUAUUGAGUUGGGAUAGUUGGGAGUCAUAACCCAGCUACCUAUAGUCAGUACUAGUAGAGGCUUCAUAGACAGUCAGUGGUGUUAAUGUAUUUAAUUUCAGUUUUAUUGUCAAAAGUAGAGUUGUAAUCUUGUAAAUUCAGAUUUCUAUUGAUCAAGUUAAGAGAAUUUUAAUGUUUCCGCUGAUUUUGUUUAGAUUUAUGUAUUUUCUUCAGUUGCUUGUAAGUAUGCCAGUAGAAGGGUUAGCUUGGGAUCAUUUGUGACCCUAACCACUGUGUGACGUCUCAGGACCCAUUUUUAAGGUGUUACAAACAUGGUAUCACAGCACAAGGUUCAAGUUUCCUAGGGUGUCUGUGAAGCCUUGUCUAGUAGAGUCUGACGAAAUGGUACGGAGAUAUCUGUACUUUUCUUAGAGAGGCUACAAGGCAUUUAGGAAAUGUUUUCAUUCUUUCAAGUCUCAAAUUGUGCUAUAGAAAGGGUCUCUAAGAAACUUAUACGAUUCUCAUCUUACCCUAUUUGAGCCACCUCCGCCUUAUUUUCAAGGUAUCUAAAACAGUCCAGCUUAAACCUUUACUGCUAGGUCUUUCUCAAAUAGUCGCCUAAGAUAGUUAUGGGAUUAUAAGGAGGCUAGAAAGUAUCCUAUCAGUUCUUUUAAGUUCUAAAAUUUGAAGGGCUUUAUUCAUGUUUAUGGAAAGUCGUGCACUAAGACCUAGUCAGGUAUGCUUUUAGAUUCCUCCUCAGAAUCCAUAAUGAUAAUCUAUACUUCUCUAUCUAUGUACUAUUCUUGAGGUAACAUGAUUGGCAAGUUCCAAUUCCCUCCCCUGAUAAUGCUCUCAGACUUGCUAGCAAGAAGUUUUAGAAAACUCACAAAGUGGCUUAAGAAAAGCCUUUUAGUGUGUUAUAAUUCCCUCAAGUUUAAAGUUAUGCCCUCAUUCUUAUGAGCCAUUUAGUUAAGACAGAGUAAGAUGUGUAUUCUUAGAUCAUUGAAUAUUAUGUGUCAAGUUUUUAUAUCUUGUAAUCUUGUUAUCAUUGUGUUGUUGAAAUUCAAAGUCUAGUGAAGCCGUGUGGGGAUUUUUUGAUUCACUAGCAUAGCUGCUUUGUUACUCAUCUCAUUUUCUUGUUCAAAACACAAAAUCAAAGUCUAGUGAAGCCGUGUGAGGCUUAUUUUAAUUCACUAGCAACUUUUUGUUCAUCUUGUUGUUCUUGUGUUGGUUGGAACUGGGGGUUUAGAGGUGUAGUGACGAGAAAAAUAGUAAGGGUGAUUUAUUGAAUGUAUGUAUAGCCGAAUCUUUUGCAUAAGAUUGAGUUAGUAAUGAAGUGUUAUGUCCUUGUAUGUUAAUUUAGUAGAAGGUAGAGAAGGGGUUAUUAGUUAAGGUGAAUUAUUGUUUGCUUGAAGUAUGAAAAGAGUUGUUGACGGUGUUUGUUGUGAAAGAAAAGUAUAGUAUAUUGAUGAAGGUACUUGGUGGAGGAGUGUUGUUAAUUUAAGCAUCCCUGAGAUUGCCAGGGGGAGUUUAGUUGAAACUUAUAGAGCUAUGAACUAAGUUUAGCGGUAUGAAAAAGGUAGAUAGUAAUGAUAUGUAGAAGAAGGAUGUGUUAAUGGAUUUUAAAUAAGAUAGAUCAUAGGAUUGAGAUUGAUCCUUACUGUUAUGAAGUUUUAGCGUACUAAUGCUUUUAGAUGUUUGGCAUGUAAGAAUAUAUGUGAAGUUGUGGUUCAUCAUAGCUAGAACUAGACGCUAAGUUUGAACAGUUGAUGGUCAUCAAAGUGGAUGAAAUGAUUUCUUGGUUAGUGAUGAUAGUUAUAUGGAAGGGAUCUAGUAGUCUUGAACAGUGUAUGCAAAAAAUUUGAGUUCAGAUAUCUAUAAUUAAGUAUCAUGCUAUAUGUAUGGUAAAGAAGUAUGCCCAAGGUGAUGUAGGGUUGCAUUAUUUCCAAGGUUAUUAUGUGUUAUGUGUGAUUAGUUGUACCGUUGAGUUGCUAAGUGGAAGGAGACUAGUUAUAUAUAUGUAUAUAUAUAUGAUGUUCUUAAUAGCUAAGCUAAGGAGUUAUGGGUAGAUGAUGUUGAGCCUUUUUAGUGUGAUAUUGAUUCUCAUAGUUUAGAAAUACAAGUUUAGAGAGGUGAUAUUAAUAAGCUAUGAACGGGUAGUUUGGUUUAUUAAAGAUUGAUGAUGUCCGUGUUAAGUGUUAGAAUCUAAGUUUGAAUCUUUAAAGAUUGAGCGAACAAAAGUAAGAGUUGAAGCUCUAGGUGGUAUGAAAUAAAGAUCUGGUGAUACGAUGAAGAUUCUAAGUUAGUGAAUGUUUAAGUUGUUAGAUGAUGACUUUUGAGGCUAUAGAAAUCUAAGAGUUGAAUCUCAGAAGGAGGUACUAGCAUUGGGAGUUACACGUUAAGAUAAGGCCCUUCAGGGUAAGUUUAGUUUUAUGUGUAUUGAUUUUACGCCGUACUCUAGAGUAAAGUGAUUGCAGUUUAUAUUAGAGUUUAUAUAGUGGUUCAUAAACUUAGAGUGAUGGCUUAGUGAUGAUGAUAGGGUAAGUAACUAAGUCAGACUCCCAAAUUCAAGUAGUGACGAUGAAUACUUGUGCGGAUAGUUGUAUUGUGCGUUAAGUGAGAUCCUAGUAGAAGGUUGAAUAUAGUUGUUGAAGUGGAAUGUACAGUAUAAGUUAACCCAUUUAGCAGUAAUUCAGUCUAGCAGCCAUACAGACAAGUUUCUAUGGUUUUCAAUCUUCCCAUCUAGUCAUAUCAUUCUAAGAGGAAAUUUUCUCACUUCGUGUACCUUGCGAAUUUAGCUUAGUUUAUGCAUCAAUUUUAGAAUCUAGAUGAUCAGUCAUGAUUCAACUCAUAAGCUUCCCGUUCGUCAUCUCAGUCUUUUUCGAGUAUUUCAAUCAAAUCAAUAUCAUUCGGGGACGAACGAUCCCAAGGGGGAGAUGUUGUAAUACCCCAAGUUUUUCAUGUCAUAAACCUCUCAUUCAUUUUCUCAUGAAAUCAGAUCCAACCUAAAGAAAUGGUUACUCAUAAGUUGACGCCCUCAUUUCUAUAUCAUCCAUAUAGCUAUUUUCAUGAGAAUUCAUGCACUCAAAGAUCAGUUUAGUGAAUCAUCAUGUUUAAGAUUCAGUUAUUCAGUUUAUUUUAGUUGUGCAUGAUAGCUUAUAACCUCAGAUUCCUUAGUAUAUUCAGCUUAAUUAUCCACAUUCGAGGACGAAUGUUCCCAAGUGGGAGAUAUUGUGACACCCCAUGUUUUUCCUAGCUUAAAAUUUAUUCCUAGAAUGUUAAGAGUGUGCUUCAAAAAUGAAUAACCUUUAUUUCAUAUGGAAUUUUCCAGAUUUAUACUUUCCAUUGUGUGGAAAAUUGAAUAAGCUUUCCAUCGAUAUCAAAUUCACCCAAAUCCGACACUCGGUGAAAAAGUUAAAGCAUUGCUAGUAAUGCAGUGUUCCACCUGGGCACUCACCGCAUCGCGGUGGAUGCCAAAAUGGAAAUCAACAUAUUCCAGUGGACCUCCACGAUAUUGGCACAUCACAGAGAGGUCCAAAUUCCCAAUUAUCAAUUUCCAGUGGUGCAAUGCGAUAGCACCGCAUCGCGCUAGAGUGCAAAUUUGCACUCGUCCUUUUCCAGUAGCUUAACACGAUUUCAACGUGUCGCGGUGAAGGUGUAAUUGUCGUACUAUUAAUCCAUAAUUAGAAUUCUUGUGUCAUGACUUUAAUUUGAAGUAUGUGAAGUCCUUAUUAGGUGAAUAAUGUUCAUAGAAGUCACUUAGAGCCAAGUGGAGCUAAAAACAUUAGAUUCGACCAAAAUAUUUGGCAUUCAAUCCUACAAGGGUCUACUUUAAACAUGUAUAAAAUUUAUAUAUAUGGAAUUUUUCAUCCCAACAACUACCAAAUUUUAGAUAAUUGAAUUAGCUUUCCGACUAUACCAAUCCCGUAAAAAUUCGAUACCCAAGCGAAAAGUUAUAGCCAUUUUUGUGUGAGGCACUGAGUUGUCGCGAUGGUAGCGCGUCAUGCUAAAGGGUAAAAUUGAAAUGCGGGUUACGAAUUUCUGCUUUAAAGUAAUAAGGGUAAUGGGGUCUUUUACCACCUCAACCCAGGUCAUAAAAACACGAUCUAAGGCUUCAAAUGAGGCAUUAUUUUCCCCCAUUCUCCAAUUUUUCCCUCAAGAACAACCCUAAUCAAUUCCAUCUUAUUCUCUUCAACAAAAAAAUCAAGAAUUUAGGGUUUCUAAUCCAAGAACUUUAAGAAUGAUAUCAAUAUCAUCUCCAAAGUAUUCAAAAUUCAAGAUUUUACAUUCAAGUUCAUCAUCAAAGCUCCAAAUUCAAGAUUUCUUCAUCAAAUCAAGUCAAUUAAGGUAUGUGGGGUUUGAAUAAGGACAAUCCUUUCGUCCUUGUCCCCAAAACUUGUUUUAACUUAUAAUUUACUGAAUUUUAUGUGAUUUUCCAUGAAAUUGAAGUUAGGGUUUAUAUCCAAUUUAUAUUAUUUGAAGAUUAUGAGUUUACAAGUGAUUGACUAUUGAAUUGCAAGACUAUUUUCAUGUAUUUAUCCGCGUAACACAAUUUUUCAGAUUUUUGAAAGUGAGUUUAAGUACGAUAUUGAGAUUCUUGAUCUAAUUAUUUUGAAGGUGUUGAAGUAUUUUCAAGAAUCAUAUUAAGUUGGAUGUUUUUCUAUGAUUUUGAAUGUUUAUAUAUGAGUUCUAAAUUAGGAUUCAAACCCAUUAUCACUAUUUAUAUGAUUUUUAGUUUUUGAGAGCUGUUGAAGAUAAAAUUCACGAGUUUGUUUAUAUUUUCAUGAGCAUUGCUGAAAUUUCCAGAUUUUAAUAUGACUUACGAAUGUUUAUGUUAUCAAGCAUGAAUUUUGAGAUGUUUUGACAUUAUUUUAAAGCAUGAGUUUUAAUCACUAAGAUUGAGUUUUGAUAUUUCAGGAAGCUUAUAUUUUUAGCAUGCUUUGAUAAGCAAGAUUUGAUCUUUUGAUCCUAAGCUAAGAUAAGGAAUCCACAUUAUUCAUAUAGUCCAUGAUUUAUAGAAAAGAGAAGCGUAAUUGGUUUUUAUUAUAAACCUUUAUGCUAUUUUAAGGUGGAUUUCCUAAAAGUUCUGAGCCUAAGUAUGGGAGUAGUAUUUAGCACCGAGUUGGGUAUGAUUCCAAGGUCUCAUGCCCCAGAACUACAUGCCACCAUAGGAUUGAGAUUUAUGGACCCAAGGCCGAGAUAGUGAUCACUAAAGUUAAGGUUCUACUCUGAUGGAAAGGGUAGAAUAGCUCUCCGCAACAUGGGCAAGACGUUGGACUCCAUGUCAGCUCACAUGGAUUAUGUCAGUUAGAAAAACCUCCCAAAGAAGACCCCUGCUCUUUAAAUAGUUUAUAGAUUUAAAGUCUUAGUAUAUAUUUUGAAAGUUAAUAUUUUAAGAUUUCCAAAGUUUUAAGUCCCAAAGUCUCUAAAAGUGUUACAGUCUUAAAGUUCCCAAGUCCUAAAUUUCCUAAAGUGCUAUAAUUUUUAUGUUUCAAAAGAAGUCCCUUAUUUGUAUAAGAUUAAAGUGUAUGUUCUGAAAGUUAUUAUUUUAAGAUUUCAUCCAGUUGACAAGAUUUGAGAAUAAGAAGAGGAUACAGAUUUUAGAAUAAGGUGUAAUGACUCACGAGAUUUAUACUACAUGCUUCCUUAUUCAUGAUUUAUGAGAUUUAGAUUUCAGUUUUUGCUCAAGCUAUGUGAGUCAUUUAUAUCAGCAUGCAUGAUUUCUAUAAAGAUUGAUGAUAUUAUUAACUAAUUGCAUACACCCCGAUAUACUCAGUACAUCCUCAAAGUACUUAUCUACAUAUAUGUCUAUGUGCUACAUUGUCUCAUAAUAUAGGUACAAGUUGUAGCGCAUAUACUAUAUUCAGUCAGUCCAUAGCUUCCAAUCAGCAGGUGAUGCAUCCUUUUGAUUCAAGGGCUCGAGUCAGUUAUACAGCUUGAGAAGUGUUGUAUUUUCUUUAUUCAGUCGUAUUGAGUUGGGAUAGUUUGGAGUCAUAACCCGGUUACCUAUAGUCAGUACUAGUAGAGGCUUCAUAGUCAGGGGUGUUAAUGUAUUUAAUUUCAGUUUUAUUGUCAAAAGCAGAGUUGUAAUCUUGUAAAUUUAGAUUUCUAUUGAUCAAGUUCAGAGAAGUUUUAUGUUUUCUCUGAUUUUAUUCAGAUUUAUGUAUUUUAUUCUAUUACUUGUAAGUAUUCUAGUAGAAGGGUUAGCUUAGGAUCACCUGUGACCCUAAGCACCGUGUGACAUCUCAGGACCCAUUUUGGGGGCGUUACACAUUGCUUAUCACAUAUGGGAACUAACACAUCUGCCUUUGAGUUAUUUUACUUUACAGAUAAUAGAAAACUACAACAUGUUGAAAUAAGUUGGCAAAACAUCCUUACUUCACCCGGUUAAAAGCGCAUAAGAUCCAAUCCCCUAACGAUCAUUCAAACAUAACUAGAAGUGAUGAAGAGAAUGCAUUGACUAUCAGGGACAAUGUAAUAGCGGAACAAAGCAAAAUGAUUGUUGAACUUGCGAGAAAAUUGAAAAUGCUUCAGGAUGAGAUGAACUAUACUCGAGAUUCGACUAAUCUGGCCACCACUGUCAAUGCUGCUACUCCAGGAGGACACAGGACUCCACUCCAGAUCCCUCCCCUCAGUACGCCUGUCCUCAGGGACCAUCCAAAUAAUAUAUCAUCCACUUCCACUCCUUAACUUAUCCAAAACACCAAUCGGGAAAAUAACCUAAAUGCUUAACAUUCGCAAAAUCAAUCCCUAACCCCACAAAAUAUGUUUCCAAAUCCACAAAAUUCCUUCCCAAAUCCCCAAAAUCUAUUUUCAAAUCCACAAAAUCCGCUUCCAAAUCCACAAAAUCCAUCUCCGAAUCUACAAAAUACAUUUCCAAAUCCACAAAAUCUAUCUUCGAAUCCACAAAAUUCAUUUCCAAACCCAUAAAAUCCCUCUCAGAUUCCACCAAACUACUCUCAAAUUCCACAAAAUAUUCUCAAUUUCCAAAAUGUCCUCCCCACCUACCCAACCUCUUUUCAUCCUCAAAAUCAAGCUACCCUUCCAAGUCCUUCUCAUGUUAUCAUAUCUCUUGACAUUAAUAAUUUCUCUCCUAAUCCCGAGGUAGACCAUUAUGAGUAGAAGUAAAAAGAGUAGAGGACUAAGCAUGAAAAGAAGUUACUAGCCAUGAACGAAGAGAUCACAAGGAUCAAAGACCUCUUACAUGCCAGGUGACCAUAAUGGCCUGGGGUACGAUGAUCUAUGUGUUCACCCUAGAGUAAAUAUUCUAGAAGGAUACAAGGUCCCUAUAUUCAAAACAUUCAAUGGUAUUGGAAACCCUAUGGAUCAUUUAAGAAGGUAUUGCGAUCAAAUGGUAGGGGUAGGAAAAAAUGAGGCAUUAUUGAUGUACUUAUUCAGCCGAAGCCUAAGUGGUGAAGCCUUUGAUUGGUUCACGUCUCAAGAACUGAAAAUAUGGACUAGUUGGAGGGCAUUGUCUAAAGGUUUCCUUGAUACAUUUGCAUUUAACAUUGAAAUAGUCACUGACCGAUACUCAUUAGACCCGAUCAACCAGAAGAAUGAUGAGUGUUUCCGAGACUAUUCCUUCCAUUGGAGAAAAAAAACUGCCAAGUUACAACCUCCCAUGUCUAAGGAAGAAAUGGUUUUUGUUUCCUCUCAUGCUCGGGGGAGAAUAUUAUACUAGGAUGGUAUCCGCGAUCAGAUCAACUUUCACAGAUUUGGUAAAAAUUGGGGAAUCGCUAGAAGAAGACAUUCGAACAGGAAAGAUUGUCAUAACCCCAACAUCAUCUAGGGCUUAUAUGUUCCCAAAGAAGAAAAAAUAAGAUGUAGGUGAGGUCUCUACUGAUUCUGUUGCUAAGUUGAGGAAGAAAUUUAAGCCUAGGAACAUUUUCUCAUCUCCGCCAUCACCAAAUUUUCAGCAUGUAUUCUACACCCAAUCCCAGUACCAAGCUCCACUUCCAAAUGUCCAAUUAUCCCAGCACCAAACUCCACUGCCAAAUAUCUAAUCCCAAUACCAAGCUUCUCAGCCAAAUAUUUUACCCCAAUAACAAGUUCCACAGUCGAAUUAUCAGUCUCAUAUUCCAGCUGUCCUGCCAAGUAUUUGAACAAACAUUCAAACGCCUCAAAAUUAUCAUCAAGUACCUCCCCCUGCUAAUCAAAAUCAUUAUAAGCCCCCAUAUCCAAACCUCGAAAAAAGACCUCCCUGAAACUUCACGCCAUUGGCUGAAAGUCGCACCCAACUCUUCAGAAGAUUGAAGGAUGUUAGGCAUUUAUAAACUAUUCAACCAAAACUUAUCAAUACUAACUCUUAAUUUUAUCAUGCUGAUCAAAAUUGUGCCUAUUAUUCGGGAGCGUCAGGGCACAGUACUAAGGAUUGUGUUAACCUGAAGCAUAGGAUUCAGGACUUGAUCGAUCAGAAAGUCAUCACCCUCCAGUCACCGACACCAAAUGUCAACAUUAAUCUAUUUCCUGAUCACGAGGGAUCCACGAUUAGCAUGAUCAAAAUAGCAGGUGAAUGGGUAUCUAGCAAGACUAUUACUAAGGUCGAUUCGUAAAAUUCCAAAAAGACAGAAGGAGUGGAAAAGAUAGAGAAAGUCCUGGCUGCCUUGAGUGUCUUAAGUAAGAAUUUGGAAGGAAUUAUUGAGCCCAUUAUAGUCCCAAAAAUAUUUAAGCGUGGUAUAGAGUACCAGCCAAGAAAGGAAGAUGAGGUUGAAGAUAAGUCAAAGAUGAGUCUGUUUGAACCGUUGCCACUUCUGUACUAAUCAUUUCUUGUGUGCGAGAUGUCAAAAGAUGAUGGUCUUGGGGAUGGGAUAAAAAAUCUGUUCGAGGGAUAAAAUAAUGUACCAGAAGAUUUCCUAAAGUCCAAUAGGGUGAAAAAUGUUGCACCAGGAGAGGCUUUCCAAAAUUGGACUUCCACUCCGCUCAUAAUCUGUCGCCCGUUGUAGUAGAUGAAAGGGAAAUUACUAGUAAUUUUAAAAAUUGGUGAUGAUCUGAAGGAGGUCCCGUGAACCACCCUUUUAUGUCUCAAAUUUUUAUUUCGUGUUUUACAGCUUUCAAAAAGGUAUGGGCCCGCAUUUGCAUGGGUCAUGAACCAUAGUUUUUAUUUAUUUUCCAAAAUGUCUCCCUUUAUUUAAGAAGUUAUCUUGAAAUAUGAUUAUAUUAUUAUCUUUUAUUAUCUUUUUAUCAUCUAACAUGGUUUAUUUUGGUAGAAAUAAUUUAAAACCUUUCCAAUGUUAUGUCAUGUCAAGGGUUAGACGAACAAAGCAAAGAGAACGAUGAUGAACGGGAAGAAGGUGAUGAGGAGCAGUUAGUGGAAGAUAUAGAGGAAUUUGAAAACCAAAAGAAUCCCAACCUAGAGGAUCCCUAAUCCUACCUGAGAUGGAUGGUCAAGAGUGGACCAAAACAAUCAAUUCUGAUGCAGUAAAAAGAUACUAUGUUUGAAAGAUGUUUUAGUUUUUUGUUUCCUUGGCUUAUUGUAAUUGCCUUUAUGAUAGUAUCUAUUUUAUGAUGUGUAAUUUCCUAGAAUCCCUUUUCUUUCAUGUACGAACUACGUUUGACCUGAAUUCCCAGUAAAGGGAUACGUAUAUGGCCUAUGUCAGCUUCGGUCAACCCCUUAGGAUGAUUUAUCCUUUUCUUUUAUGAAUAAACUAUGUGAUGACCUGAAUUCUCAAGAAUCAAAUACGUAGGCGGCCUACGUCGGCUUCAGUCAACCUUUUAGUUUUUUCUAUAUGUCCCUAGCGUAGUCCCGAACAAUGUUUGACCUGAUUCCUACUUCAACGGGAUACAUAGACGCACUAACGGCUCGGUCAUAUAACCCCAGGAAAUGGAAACUGGGGCAAAAAUUUUUAGAAGGAAUCUCAAAAAUUCACAAGAGGAAGAUCAUUAUCCAACAAAGAGAAUGAAGACUAACAAAGGCUUCGGAUCCUCUCGAGUUGAGAUCGUCUCAAACUACCUUAAACUGGGGCAGAAAUUUUGAGGAGGUCCUCAAAAUUUUCACUGAUAUAUUGAAAUAUAUUUCAAAUCCCCCAGCACCAGAGGUCAAAGUUAAGGUUUGAAAAUCACCAGCUGCGAUAAAGUCUAGAUAGACUAAAUUUUCGGCUAUGAUAGAACUUCUGAUAGAAGCCUCAAUGAUGCUGAAUCCCUAGCAAUCCUCCGUCAAACGUCAGACAUAGUCAGAACCAAGAUAAAGAUGUUCGUCGGUAUUAUACAUGACAUGACUGGCAGAUAUUUUCUAAAGCUUUUACAGGAGUUUUCAAAACCAUUUUCUAAAAUUAAGAGUACUUUUAAAAAUCUAUAUAAAUCUUUAACUUAGUAAUUUCCUAGGCAUCUAUUGGAACAGGGAGUCAGGGUGGAAGUCCCAACAUAACAGAGUACCCAAAAUAUGGCGAGGAGCAAACCAAGGAUUGAAGAAGGUUAACACAGACUAGUUUCACUAAAAAAUUAAUCAUUUUUCUGUGGAUGCAGGAAUCAGUACACAAAAAUGGAAAUUUUUUUUCAAAAAAUCCCCAAGCGGGUUGCGAGCCACACCAAAGCAUAUAAUGCUCAAGAACGGUAUUUUUGGGUGGCCCCGAAGAUGGGUUUAAUUAUUGAGGACCUUUUAAAUUGUCUAUAUUAUUUUUUGAGACCAUGAAGGACAAACAAAGGUACAUUCAAGGGAGUCGUCACAAUAAAUACAACAAUCAAAGGAUCACUCAAUAAGAGGAAGAGUAGAAAGUCAUCCUCAAAAUUUAUCUUGAAGCGAAGUAAACGGUACUUGAGUAAUCCCCAAAAAAGGGUUUUGCCUCAUUUACUUACAUCCGGUGGAUCUGCUAUUUAAUCAUUUCUUCAAAAAGAGAAGAUUAAUAGCAAAAUAAGUCAUUCAAAUUAUGAUGCUCAGUAUUUGUCAUUAAACUAUCAUAAAGCUUGAUUGUGGUCACCAGUGAGAGCAACAUUGUGUCUACUAAUUGUCUACCUUGAGUAUAGGUACAUGCAGAAAGCAAAACACAGACAAACGGACUCAGGUGAAACUGAUUUCAAAUCACCAGAAAAACCAUUUCAUCUCAUUACCGUGAGGGACAUCUAAUGCCAUUGCCGAGAGGGCCAUUUUAAGCCAUUGUUGAGAGGGCUAUUCCAAAUCAUCACCGAGAGGACCAUUUCAUGCCAAUGCCAAGACGGCCAUUUCAUAUUAUUUUAUUGCUAAGAGGGCCACUUCAUCUCAUUUCAUUGCCAAGAGGGGCAGUGUAUUUAAUAUCUGUUGACAUGUGAUAUAGAAAAUGCUGGCAUCGAAGAUAUCAUCAACAUCUAAUAUCUGUUGACAUAUGUGACACAAAUACUGGCAUCGAGGAUAUCAUCAGCAUCUAAUAUAUAUUGACACGUAAGACACAAACGCUAGCAUCGAGGAUAUCAUCAGUAUAUAAUAUCUGUUGACACGUGAGACACAAAUAUUGGCGUCGAGGAUAUCAUCAGCAUUUAAUAUCUGUUGACACGCGAGACAUAAAUGUUAGCAUCGAGGAUAUCAUCAGUAUCUAAUAUCUGUUGACAUAUGAGACACAAAUUCUGGUGUCGAGGAUAUCAUCAACAUCUAAUAUUUAUUGAUAUGCAAGACACAAACACUGGCGUCGAGGAUAUUAUCAGCUUCUAAUAUUUGUUGACAUGCAAUACACAAAUGUUGGCAUCAAGAAUAUUAUCAGCAUCUAAUAUUUGUUAACACUCGAAACACAAACGCUGGCAUCGACGAUAUCACCAGUAUUUAAUAUCUGUUGACACGCAAAGAUAGAAUACUCUGGCAUCAAGGAUAUCUUAUCAUUCAUGAAUCAAUAUCUGAAUGUAUCAAAAGCACGUGAUUCAAAGGGACGUCUUUAAGUUGCUAUCUAAAAGUGAAUGACAUAUGAGUCUUCCUAGAAAUUGACAAUCUGAGGGUCAUCUAUAAGUACUAUUAUUUAAAAUAGGAUAAUAUGUAAGAUUACCUAUGAGUUUAUAGCCCAUAGGUCAUUUGUAAGCCACAACAACAUCCUAACUGGAUAGUGUGCAGGGUUACCUAAAACUUAAUAGUCUGAAGGUUAUCCGUAAGUCUCAACUAAAUCCUUACCGGAGAAUAUGCGAGAUUGUCAAAUUGAUAAGUCCAAGGGUUCUCUAUAAGCCACGUCAUAUCCAAGAUUAAUUAUGUGCAGGAUUACCCAAAGACUAGCAAUUUGAGAUAUAUUUAUAAGUCAUAUUAUAUCCAAGGUCUAUUGGUUGGAGGGAUAUCUGUAAGCCAUAUCUUAUCUAAGGUCGAAUAAUAUACAAGAUUACCUAAAGGCUAGCAAUUCAAAGGAUAUUUGUAAUUCGCCUUGUAUCCAACAUCAAAUAAUGCGCAAGAUUAUCCAAAGAUUAACAAUUCAAGGGGAAUUUAUAAGUCGCAUCGAUACAAGAGAUGCGCAGGACUUACCCAAGCUCACAUGCAAAGAAUUAUUGUCAAUAAUCAAAAAGGUUAUCUUAGGCAACAAAAAUGGUUCAUCUCAGCAUAAUAUUACACAACUGCAGGGACUAUUCUGUAUAAAGUGUCAUCGGUGUCCAAAAUAAUCACCCCACUUUGACAUAUUCAACUGAUAAAUGAGAUAAGUAUGCAAUAACCAAGAGGGUUGUUAUGUCUAUUGUUGCAAGUUAUUUCCUUCCAAAUAGGUACAUGAAAGGAUACCUUAGCUUUUCAGGCAACAACCUACGUGGAGAUAUGGUAAAAAACAACAUACCUCUUCCGUGAAUUAUGUUUAGCACUAACACUUUUGUUUGAAACAUUACCAAGAGCAUCAAAGAGGAUGAAAAUCUUAAAUCAAAAUCACAGGUGUGGACGACUUCAAAUAGGAUGCAACACAACGUGAAACUCUUUCUUAGCAGCAAAACGAAACAUAGUCUAAAGAGGAACGUCAAACUCUUUGGAUGUGAGCUAAAGGAUGAUCGCCACCACCAUCCAACCACACCCCUGUUAGAAGGCAGGUGGGAAUUUUGGGAUAUUCUAGUUUCAGCUUUACCUUCGUGAUAUUUCUAAACUCAUAUCGAGGGUAAACUUCUCUUUCUUUCAAAUUCGAGUGAUAGGGCACCUAGAGUUUUGGAAAUUAUGUCCAGGUAAGUUAUUACCUAUGGAUGUGAAGAGCUUCAUGUUCAUGGUUAAGAGGUUACAAGCCUCUUUUUCAUAACUCAAACAACUUGUCACUCAUCCUGAGCCAAAGAUCGUCUGAAAUAAAAGACUAUCUUUACUACCGAUUAAGUCAAACUACAAGAAGUCUGAUUCCUUAAGUCUCGGGGAUAUGUAGGUUGGGAUCUAUGUAGAAAACUCAACUGCAUUCCAACCUCCCUCCAAAUCCCUUUAUUCUCUAGCUUUUUGGUUUUAUCAAUACUCCAAAACCAAGAUAGCUGGUGAAUUUUUUAAAAAUCGUGCUUUAAGCCAAACUUUAUGAACUACAAGUGGCCUGAAUUCUCAUGUAACUUGAGAUAUAUGGGAAACCUGAUACUGAAGUCCAGCCAUAACUCCACAAAACUCGUGAAAAAAUCAAUAUUUUUCAAAAAUGAAUUUGUGGUCAGAAAAAAAUUAGGAAUGUCAAACUCCCUUUCCCCGGGGUUACUUGCAUCCCACCCUAUCCAAAAGGGGGCAGUUGUUGACACACAAUGUUUGCCCUCCGUGACUAAGUUUAUUUUCAAGUUUCUUCAAUUUUUGAAUAAAAUUAUAACAUUUAUUUUAUCUAAAUAAAAAGCUUUUGAAAGUAAUUAUUUAGGUAAAUUUGUCAUUUUAAGUAGCAAUUAUAUAUUACCGUAUUAAAUUAUAUGAAAUUUAAUAAUUUUGUUACUUAAAUAUUUAUUUUAAAAAAAAAUGGAUUUUCAUCAAGGCUUAUCUUGAAAAUAAAUUUAAAUGAUUAAAAUUUUGAUUUAAAUAUAAUUAAUUCUCAAAAAUAAUUUAUUUGAAUAAAUAUGUAUUUGAUUUUAUUAAAUCGAGAAGCAUGGAAUUAAAAGAAGUAUUAAUUCGUAUUGAAUUUCAAUUUAAUUUAGUCAAUCUAUUAGAUUUGGCCAUAUUUGCAAUGCAAUCUGCCAAUUGAUUUUUAAUUUGGUCAAAAUAAAUAAAUUUGGCUAAAUUUUAAAUCUCAAUUGGUGUUGUAUUUUAAAUAACCCCCAAAUUUCCAAAAAAAUUCUCAUAACUUCUACCCAAUUUUCACCAAAAAUAAUUUCAAAAAUUAUAUUACAUUGUACAAUUCCCUCCAACUUUGUCCUUUUCUAAUUUUAAAAUUCAAAAAUUAUACUACAUUGUUCAUUUCCCCCCACAUUAUCUUUCACCUCACCUUAUCUUCAAUUUUUAAAAUUCUAAAAAAUACCCCUAAAAGCUUUUUCUCCCACAUUGAUCGACGAAAAGAAUGGAAUCUCCAUUCUUUCCUAUAAAUACUAUCAUUAUUUUGGUAGAAAGACCAAGUCUCAAAGCCUCAAAGAAUUGAAAAGCUUUUGAGAAAAUAGUUGAAAUUUUUUAGUGAAAAAAAAAGAAGAGAAGUCUCAAGGUUGAAAAAAAAAGCUUUGAGCAAAGAAGAGUUUUUAUUUUAGUAAAAAAAUUUCUUUUUCCAUGAAAUUGUUGGGCUAAUUGAAGUUCUCAGAAGAUUGUUUUCUGUUGUGAUCAAGAAGAAAGCUUGAAGUCUCAUUUUCUUCCCCAAAAAGGUGAACAUACCUUUCCCUUUUGUUUAAUUUAUUAUCAUUUUCUUCAUCUUUUUUUCUUCAUAGUUCGUAGUUAUAAUUGUGUUUGUUGGGAUUGUUUGUUGUAGACGGCCUUGAAGGCCAUAGGAUAUUGUGGUAUUGAUAGUAUGGUUAUUUUCUUGUUCACGGUAUAAAAAUGAGCUAGCAAAAAUUGUACAUGCCUUUUUUAUUUUAUUCUUUGAUUAUUAUAAAUAAAGUUUCAAUCUUUCCUUAAAAGAUGAACUUAUGCUUUGUUUAAAUUCAUUAUUGACGGAUAUAUUUAUUUUUAGUAUUUAAAGCUAUUUCCUUUAUGUUUAAAAGAAUAGUUAAUAUUGAUUAUUUCUCCUUUUUAAUUCUUUGAUUAUUAUAGAUGAAGUUUCAAUCUUUGUUUAAAAGAUGUACUCAUGUCUUGUCUAAAAUCAUUGUUGGUGAAUAUGUUUGUUUUUAGCAUGUAAAGUUGUUUCUUUUAUGUUGAAAAGAAUAGUUAAUAUUGAUUGUUUCUCCUUUUUUUUAUUCUUUGAUUAUUAUAGAUAAAGUUUCAAUCUUUGUUUAAAAGAUGUACACAUGUCGUCUAAAUUCAUUGUUGACGGAUAUAUUUACUUUUAGCAUGUAAAGUUACUUCAUUUAUGUUGAAAAGAAUAGUUAAUGUUUAUUGUUUUGCCUUUUAGCUUUAUUCUUUUAUCAUUAUGUAUAAGGUUUUGAUCUUUGCUCAAAAGACGUAUUCAUGCCAUGUUUAAAUUCAUUAUUAGUGGAUAUGUUUGUUAUUAGCAUGUAAAGUUGUUUCUUUUAUGUUGAAAAGAUAGUUAUUGUCUUAAUAAAAAUAGUAAUUGAUUAAGCCAAGAAUUUGUCAUUUAUUUGCUAAUUAUUUUAAUGGAUUUCAAAUCCUCAUAUAAGAGAUGAGUACUAGCUUUAUUUUCCAUCCAAGAUGUUUAUUCCUUUCUUUUUCUUUUUUUUCUCUUUUUUUGCAUGUUGUUAAUUUUUCAAAAUGAUGAGAAAGUUUGGAUUUUUGUGGCUAAAUAGAAUUAUUUAGAUAUUCUCGAGUCAUGCAUAGUAUGAUUGUUGAACGAUAUUUCACUUUUAGAGAUGUUAAACUUUUAUUCUAAUUUUCUUACUCCCUUUGGAUUGUUAUACGUGUUCUUUGGGUGUGUAAAGACUUGAUUCAUGUCUCUCUUUGAGUCAUAAUGUCAAAAGAGAAUCAACUAUGUCUUGAAACGAUAAAUCAUAGGUCGUUAUAUGUUCUCCCUAAAGUUGGCCAUGACUUAGAUGUAUGAAUCUUUGUUAAUUUCUCCUUAAUUGAAAUUUAAAGAUUCACUUUCUUGAAAAGUUAGCCUUUAUUUUCUUUUGUUAUAUGAAUUAGUUUCUAUGUUUGUUCAAUUUUAGAAGUCAUGAGUAUUUUUCUUAUCGCCUCAUCCCUUUACUCUCGCAAACUUGCGUUGUUUGUUCUCACAUUAAUUCAUUGAAUAUGUUCUUCUUCCUUUUAUCUUUAUUCAUUCUUAUAUGAAUAUAAAUCAUGAGGCAUGUAAGUGGGUGUCUUUACUUUGCAUUUCAUUUGUUGAUUCUCAUUCUUGUGCAAGUGUACUCAUCAUUGUCAUUCAAAAAUUAGAUCUUGAUAGUUUCUUUUGCUUUGAAAUAUGUCACUUUUAUGCCUUGAACGUAUAUUAAUUUCUUUAUCUUUUCUUUGCAUGCAAAAAUGUCUCAAGUCCAAAUGGACUCCUCUCCUCUUGCAUUUCGUAAUGGGCCAAUGAAGCCCACCUCUUCGAGUCAAAUUCGAAGUUUAAACCCAAGGUCGACUACAUAGCGUGCGGGUACUAGAAGAUAGACGAAGAAGGAAAAUGGGUCAAAACCCAUUGAUGAGGUCACUAAGAGACUUGAAAAGUCUCGAUUUUUAUUAUUAUCUUUUUUUUAUUUAUUCAAUUAGUCAUUUAUUUAUUCAUUCAUUUGGGCUCGAAGCCAAAGUUGUAUUUUAAUACAGGUGAGGCAGAUUUUGGCCUCAAAGGUCCGAAAACUAACUUAGGACAGGUUGUGGGCCGAAAGCCCAAUAUUUAGAUUAGUACAGGCGCAAGUGGGCCAAAAGCCCAAUUAGAUUAGGACAUAGUCUAUUGAUUUGGGCCCAAUGGCCUAAGUUUUAUUUUCUCCCCUUCCCCUUUUACAUGCUUUAUUAUUAAUUUGUUUAAACUUAGUUAAAAUCCUUACUGAGUCAUCCAAAUCUAUUUUACACAAGUAUUUUUCUAAAAUCAAUUAUUUUUCAACAAUAAAUCUUUCUUUUUGGAGUUAGUCAAAAGAUAUUUUCAAACAGUCUAGAUAACCACAAGUUAGCGGAUACUCUUGGUGCCUAACAAUCUUUCAAGAGUAUUAAUAGGAACCACUUACUCAGAAUCUUCAAACUGAAAUGAUUUUUUUUGUUUUGGAUCAUUUAAGUAACUUUGAAAGGUUUUCUUAAUUCCUUUUCAAAUAAAUCAAGUGGCGACUCUUAAAAAGUCAAAAUUUCCGCUAAACAGUGGCAAUUUUUUAUGUCGAAUGAAAGUUGAAUUUUUUAAUGCAACAUUUUAUCUAUCUGUUGUAAUAGAUAGUCUAUCUGUUCCAACAGAUUAAUUAUCUAUUGCAAUUGGUUGGUCAUCUGUUGCAUUAUGCAGAUGUUUUUAAGUCUAUCUAUCACAAUAGAUAUACAAUUUAUUGCAACAUAUACUCUAUUUAUUGCAACUGAUAUGCAAUCUAUCGGAACAAAUCAAAACAGUAGGAAGACCUUUUUGAUAAUUUCCAACAGAUGACCUACAUGUUGCAACAUAUGUCUAAAUCUAUUUGAUAAUUUCCAGCAGAUAUUUCAUCUAUUGCAACAGAUACAUUAUCUGUUGCGAUAUUUGAAUUAGUAUUUUAUUUCAAUUAAUAAGUUCAAAUCUAAGAAUUAAAUUAAAUUCAUAGACAACAUAAAAUAAAUCAAAGUCUUUAGAAAUUACAUGAAAUAACUCAACAAAUAAAUGAAAUGUACAAAAAUAUUAUGGGUACAGAUAAUCUACUCAAUAAAUAAAUUAAUAAUUUAACCUUUGGUGCCAACAAUUCCUAAGGAGAUAUUAUUACUUUGACAGACUUAGGCUAUAAAUAUCUACUCAAUAUGAACAAGUCGUUCUCCAUCCGGUGCUAUGGAAUUCGGCUUUGAUCGUCGUGGAUUUUUAAUGUCGCUUGCAUAGCUUUCGCUUUUCCGCAUUUCCAUAUAAGAGUAGCAUAUCUUUUAUGGAGUAAUUCGAUAUCAAUUCCAUCAUUUGGUACUUGUAAUCCAUCGCUCAAAUACUUGGCAUAAGCGGCAACAAAAAGACCACAAUUCCUGCAUUUGUAAAAAUUAGAUAAUCCAUAUCUUGUAAUUAAUAUAAGCACUAUGAAAUUUAUGAAAUGAAACUAACUUAUGAUACUUACGGAUACCAAUGAGUUAUUGAGCAACUCCUUUAACAUAUUCUACAUCAAAUGGAUUACCCAUUUUAUCCCGGUAUGCUUCAAUCGCAGACCAAUCAGUACAAACUGUUUGGUCUAAAAAGCCACUUAUAUCAAGAAAAGUAGAAAAUAUUUUGGCCAAUUUUUGUAUCUCAAACGAUGGCCCAAAAUGUAUUCUUUCCGACAUCGAUUCAUAAACUCGGAUGCGCCUCUCUUUUAGAACGACGACAACCAACACCCAAUGAAAUUCAUCACCACGAUUGAUUGGUAUGUACAUUUUAUAGAUCAAAUGCCAAGGUAAGUCAACUGGAAUACUAAAACCUUUGAUAAUGUUGAUUAAGCAUUCCUUAUUUCAGAAAACUUUCGGAUGUUGUUGACAAUACCUAUCAUAGGCUUUAUUGAUGUAAACUUUAUACAAAUAAUUGUCUGUUGUAUAUCUGUAUUGUUUUUAUGUUUGCAACUUGGCCUUCUUUCGAAGGUAGUAAAAAAAAGGCAUUGAUAUGCUGCACAUAUUAUCAAACAUUUCAGAUUAUGUGACAGUAAAAUUAAUACACAGAUGUAAUUAAAUAAAGUAUUAAUUAAUAUUAAUAUGUAUGACAUUUAAAGCUCAUCAUUCCAGCAAGUUUGAGGCUGUGACAUCCAAUAGAACCAAUCCUCCAUUUAGGGAUGUGCAACAAUAAAGUUGAACAUAUCAAAACCAAGACCCGAUUUAUUCACUUUGUAGUGUUCGUUAUUUUAUUUUCUAAAUGAUUUAUAUUUGUUAAUAUCAUGUUCUUACAACAAGAAUUGUAUAAAUCAAUAUCUUUAAAGAUGAUUUAUGUACCUGCCGACAUGAUGCUUUAAAACCCAUCUGAGAUGUUGAACCCUUUAAAUAGGUAAUUUUUCUGUUCUUCCGAACUGACAAGCUCCACUUUUUCUUGUUCUUCGAAAGCAAUUGAUGGAUUAUCAACUGUGAUAUUAUGAUAUUCAGCAGUAGCUUCUACAAUGAUAUCCACCUGGAAAGCUAGAAUUGUCAAUGUUAAUCACAAAGAUACAAUAAAUUAUCUAUCUGUUGCAACAGAUGGAUCAUCUAUUGAGACAAAUUUAAAUAGGAGGAAAAGUUGUAUGAUAAUUUCCAACAGAUGACCCAUCAAUUGCAAUAUAUGACUCAUUUGUUGGUAUAAAUUAAAGUAUUACAAAGACCUAUUUGAUUUGCUAAAACAGACAGACAUAUGUUGCAAUAGAUAACUCAUCUGAUGCAACAAGUAAGACAUCUGCUGCAACACGCAUCUGAUGCAAUAGAUUAUACAACUGUUGCAACAGAUGUAUAUAUCUGUUUGAUAAUUUUUAGCAGAUGUAUCAUCUAUUGAAACAGAUAUGUGUCUGUUUGUUUGUUGGAACAGAUGAAAUAGAUUCACCUUCUUUAGCUCAUGCUGCUCUCCUGUGGCCCUUGUACAUUGAUCAAAGAUGCAAGACAAAGAUAGAGGAGUUGCAAUUUUACUUUUUUCGAUGCUUGAUGAUGCCUUAGAAAUUUCUUUCCCUCUCAUCUUAUCCACUUUAAUCUCUAGUGGAGUGUAUGGAUAUGAAAUCCUCUUUGAUGGAAUGACACCCCUCUUAGAUAUCAAUUCCUUUAUAGAAGCAGUUAAUGUAUUAAUAGCAUUAAUCACUCCAUCAUGUUUCGCCUUGCAAUCUUGACAUUUGCAUGCAGAACAUUUGAUAGAAGAGGCUAAAUCUAUACAACUAGUAUGAUCAUAAUCAUAAUGCUUUGUUAUUUCAAAAACUGUAAGAGGAGCAUCAUUAGCCCCACUAGCAGCACCACUACCACUACCAUCAUCAUCAACAACAAGCCCACCCUCCAAAAUUAUUUUUCUUGUAAUAGUUGUUGUUUCAAAUAAUUUCUUUUUUAUUCUAUCAAUGACUUCAGGGUUCGAUAAAGUUUGCACAGACUGUAAAGUAAGAAAAAUGGCAUCUUCAACUCUUGAUUGGUUGGAACAAGCGACAAAUGGACAAUCUAAAAUAAAUCAGUACAUAUAUUAGAAUGAUGAUGAAAUCAUUUAAAAAAAUCAUUAAUUAAAACAAAAACUUAAUUAGAAAUAGACUUACUGCUUCCUUCGUGGGUUGAAGAGAUUAAGAAAUUUUUUAUUUUUAUCAGUUUGGUCGACAACCAUCUCAGGAUUCUUGGACAGGAAACUUCUUCCUAAUAGUUCACUUGUUGUCUCAAAUAAGGAAUGACUUCAAAUGCCCAAGCCUAUAAAAUAACGCCAAUAAAUCAAAAAUAUUAUUGAAUAAAAAAAAUGAAUCAUAUCAUAAUAAAAAAAAUAUUUACCAUGAAUGCCCGUGGAAAGCCAUAUAAGUUUAUUGUCUUUGGCGUUAACGGAGUCAACAAAUAUUUGACAGUCAUUUUGAAGCUUUCAUAACCCCAAGGAUAGUUGUUAAAUGCCUCAAGAUACUCAGAGAGCUUUAUUAAACCAAGUGGUAUGUUGUUGUUAACGUCUCUCGCCCAAAGAAUAUUAUUUACAAACCAAACCAAGCACAAUGAUUGCUUGUGCUUCUUUGAAAGUCUUUUACCUUUCAACGCUUCUAUCAAAUUUAUGUUUUUAACGCUUGGACCAACAAAGGACACCAGGUCAUCACGAUCACUCGACUUGCUUUUGCCUUUUUGGGGUGUACGGGGUGCUUUUUUGGGGUUAGAAUAGGUAUAACUUAAGAAGGAGAAGAGGGAUAACAUUUUAAUUUAGUAACUAUGGCAAACUCCUUCCAACCAAAACAAACAAGCAUAUCACAGUAAUUUAUUCACACGUCAUCCAACUUAUCUCUAUUUUCAUACAUAAACUUAUGCUUGAGAAGAUCAUAUACCAUUUUCAUUUGAAAAUGAGUAUUGUUAUCCUCUGGCAAAUCAAAAAAUUGCCCAAAGCAGUUGUCCCUAAAAUAAGCAUCCAUUUUUUGUUCUCAAAAUAUUUUUCUGAAGGCAUUGAAAGAUUUUUCCAUGCCUGAGUUAACCACAAAAUCACCAGUUAAAUCUAUGUCACCAUCGCACUGUAUUCUCACAGGAUAACUAUCAAUGCUGAAGGAUUUGACCAACUCUUUCGUGGAAGGGAUAUUAGUAUUUGGGUCAUCUCUUUUAAAAUAUUCCUCCUCCCCAUGUUCAUUAUCUUCUGCUCCUGAUUGAGAUAACACUUGUAAAGUAAGCUCAUAGAGUGGUGGAUGUAGCUUAGUUACUUCACUUGUUCCUUUACUUGGACUUGAUUCAAUUUCUUUUCUUUUGGGAGUCAUAUUAUCUAAAAUUAACAGAAACAUAAAAUAGAUUAUAAUUGAUUAAUGCAUCGUUAAAAAGGAUAAUAAUAAAUCUAACAUGUACAAUAGUAAAAUAACAGUUCCAGUAGAUCGCACAUCUGUUGCAUCGGGUAGGUUAUCUAUUGCAAGAUAUAACUAACCUGUUGCAACGGAUGAGUAAUUUGUUAGAAACAAUAAAAACAGAUCACUCAUUUGUUGCAAAAUGAGUUAUCAAUUGGAACUGUUAUUAACUGUCAAUAUUAUUUAGAUUUCUUCCAACAGAAAAGUCGUUUGCCGCAGCAGAUAAAUGAUCUGUUAGAUUGUUCAUCUAUUGCAUCAGAUGGUUCAUCUGUUACAAAAAAAAAUAGUACCAGGAUUUUGUUCAAUAGAACAACAACAAUAUCACCGUUUAAUAUUAAUUGCACCAUUUUUACCAAGAAAAACAACAAAUCAACCCAGCAAAACCAACCCAACACACACAUUAAGAACAUCAACAGCGGCUAAAAAUCACCAACAUUAUUGUUUUGCGUUUGUACAAACACAAACAACAAAAAUUAAACUUCAAAAAGAUCAACGGACACAAACAAAUCGAAUCAACAAUUCGAUAACAAGAACUACAAUAACAACAAAAAAUUAUAUUUCACUUCGGAAAGAGUAAAGAAGAAAUCCCAAAAAUUAAGAUUUUUUUGAGUCCACAUUUCAAGUUAAAGCAAUAAAUAUUGAAAUUGUUAAUCAAUACUAGAAGAGAAGUUGACUCAAGUUCCUCUUUUUCUUCAUAACUAAAAAAAUAUAAUUUUUAACUGUGAAAGAAGAAAUAGGAUGAUGAAGAACUCAAAGUUGUUAUCGUCGGAGAACACUGUUAUCACGUCGAUUGACGAUUGAAAGUUAAAAAAGAACUUAUCCGAUUAUUUGUUGCUGGAGGUUGAAGUCGGGGAUUGAAGGGAGAAUUUUUUUAGAACUGUUAGUUGGAUGAGAGUUAAGAGAACUGUCAAGAGAGAAAGGAGAGAGACGAUUUGAAAAUAGAUUAGAAAGUUUGAAGAGGAAAAAGGUAUGGGUUGAUUUAUAGGUUUUAAAAAAUUAGAAAGUUUUAAGUUGAUUAAUGUCACUUUCCUUCAUUCAAUACUCAAAUGAAACUUCAUUCAAUACUCAAAUCAAACUUUCCUUCAAUUUUCUCAAGACUUAGGAACACAAAACCUAGGAUGCUAAGGAGCACUGAUCUAAGAAGCGAGUUGAAGAUUAAACCAAAGUUAUUGACUCUGGAUGGAGUUAAGGAGAACGUAAAUCAAAGUGGAGGUACAUUAACCAACAUUGUGCAGAAUAAAUCACCACCCAAAAGUAGCACUUUACAAAGAAUGGAGGGAGUAUGAAGGGACUCAAAAAAGAAAGAGAAGCGAGUUUAAUUCUGUAUGAUGCACUGAGUAAUUAGAGAACAAAUUUGAAUCAUUUUAAUUUUAUUAAUUGGGAACUGCAGGGGAGCCGGUUCCUGAAAAGAGGGCAUCAUGACAAAAACACAAAAUUAAGUUGGUCCUCUUGGCGACAAGGAGAAGCGUUCGGCCAUGUGUUUGCUUGUGGCGCAUCAAUAUAAAGCAACUUUAAGUAGUUCUGCGGUGGACACACGUGCAGUGCCAUAGACAAAUAAUGGCAAAUUGUGCCUCGUUGAUCUGCAUGAGUCUCAUCUAUUUUACUUUUUAUCUCAAUUUUAUCUGUUCCUAAAUUCAUUGACAUUGUUGAUCAACUGAUCUUCCAGGUAUGCUUUUGUACUUCCCCUCUUAUUUUAAUGGCUCUUUACAUUGUUGAUUACUUUACUAAUUUAUUGCUUCAAUUUUGUUUUUUCCUUCGUCCCCAUGCAAGAAGAAAAACUUAUGGUUGAAAUCAAUUAGAACUAUUAUCUGCUUAUCUCAAAUGCAUAUAUGUGUUCAGUAUAAUGUCUUUGGAAAUGCACUCAACUCACGGGUGUGGCUUAGUGGUAAGUGGGUUAAUUUCACCAUAGGUUAAAACUAAGUGAUUUCUUCCGAGUUGUUCUAGUCUUGGCGGAACCUUGGUGGACAGAACUACAAUAAAGAAAAUUAGUUGAAUUAGUCGAGGCUGGCUAUAUCGACAUUCAUUCACCAUGUUUCUGCAUUCAAAUUCUUCUCAAUUUUCAAGCCAACAUUGUACAAAAUGAAGAAAUCAAAAUAAAAGGUACUAGAUGUUAUCCAUAUUUUAAUUUCCUGCUAGCAUUGAAAUAUCCAAUAAGGCUAACAGACUCCUAGAAAACAUAGGACCAAUUGAAACUACUAACAUGACCAAAGCAUGUUCCCAACAUAAUUGAUAUCACCUAUAUAGAUAUAUUUUACCAUAGUGCCUUAUCUUUCACUAAGUUAGCAUAGAUUCGUAGUGAUUGCGUGUCUUUUGAGACAAAGUCGUCCUCGUUCAUAGUAUUAAUUUAAUCUUUCCUUGUACGUCCGUCUAUGAUGGGUGCAAAUAUGUAAAUCUAACAACAAAUAAACAAGGGAAUGAAUGCAUUACACCUAUGUUUGUUGAGGCUUUGGGCCGGGUCGAAUUUGUGUUUGCAUCUCCAACAAGAAACUUUUUGAUGAUAAUGGGAAGUGAUGGGAGGUAUUUGAAAUUUGAAAAGUACCUUGGGGGGGUGAGGCAAUUUAGUCUGUGGAGUUGCCGAAUGUAGAAAAGAGAGAAAACACACACACAAAAAAAAAAAAAAAAAAAAGAAUCUAACGAAGGUUGAAAAUUGACAAUGAUAAUAGAAAGUGAUUGGAGCUCUUUGAAACAUUAGAAAGUGUCCGGAGCAAUUUAAUGCAUGGAGUAAUGCGAAUGGGGAAACCACAUGUGAAGAAUCAAAACAAAUAAGAAAACUUCUUAAUGAUAAUGGGAAGUGAACAUUGAAUGUUAGGAAGUAUUUGGGUAAAUUUAAUUUGUGGAGUAAGACGAAUGCAGGAUUGAGAGAAUUAAAGCAAAGAAGAAACUUGUUGAUGAUAACAGUAAGAUAGGAGCUCUUUGAAGCCUUAAGAAGUAUCUAGGGAGGGAAAUUUAACGUGUGGUGUAAAAUGAAUGCGGAAAAGAGAGAAAAAAAAAAACAAGAAACUUGUUGAUGAUAAGUGAUAAAAAAAGUGAUGGUAGCUCUUUGAAGCCUUGGGAAAUAUUGGAGACAAUUUAACACGUGGAGUAAUAGAAAAAGGGUAGCCCCGUGCACUAAAACUCCCGCUAUGCACAGGGUCUGUGGAAGGGCUCAACCACAAGGGUCUGGCAUAUGCAGCCUUACCUUGCAUUUCUGCAGUGUUGUACCCAAGGCUAGAACUCAUGACCUCAAAAGAGAGUAAAAGUACAAACAAGAAACAACUUGAUGAUAACUGAAAGCGAUGGGAGCUCUUUGAAGCCUUGGAAAGUAUCUAAGACAGUUUAACACGUAGACUGGUACGGAUGUGGAAAAGAGAGAAAAAAGAACAAACAAGAAACUGUUGAUGACAAUGGAAAGUGAUGGGAGCUCUUUGAAGCCUCGGGAAGUAUCAGGGACAAUUUAACACGUGGAGUAAUACGAAUGUGGAAAAGAGAGAAAACAAACAAACAAGGAACUUGUUUAUGAUAACUGAAAGUGAUGAGAGCUCUUUGAAGCCUUGUGAAGUGUCAUCCAGGAUAAUUUAACAUGUGGAAUAAUACAGAUGUGGAAAAGAUAUAAAAAAAUAACCACGAAUCCUUUUGAUGAUAAAACAAAGUGAUGGGAGCUCUUUCAAUCCUGGGAAGUAUCUGGGACAAUUUAAUACGUGGAGUAAUAAGAAUGUGGAAAAGAGAAAUAGGAAAACGAGAAACUUAUUGGUGAUAACGGAAAGUGAUGGGAGCUCUUUGAAGCCAUAGGAAGUACCCAGGAAAAUUGUUAUGUGCAGUAAUACCAAUGUGGAAAAGGGAGAAACAAAACAAAAGGAGAGAUGGAUUAACUUUAGCUAGCAAUUGUAAGAUAGUAAAAGAGUUUCAAUUUCCUUUUAAUUUUGAAAAAGAACAUGUGCCAUAUGAAUGAACUUUCGACUUGAGAAUGUUUCAGGUAGAUAGAUCAGCUCAUAAACUAUUACCAAGAUAUGGAAUUACCCUGUCGAAGCAUUUAUUGCCACAUGGGAAGAAUGGAAAGGAAAGACAUGACGCCAUCUGGCUUGACAACAAUAUACGAAUACGUGAGAAGAUGCUGGCAUUGGUGGCCAAUUGUAUCCGGUGCCAUGCCACACGAUGACAAAUAUGUUAUGGUGGGAAAACAACUUUUAGUUUAUUCACCACAAAUGGUCAUUGUUAAGCUUUUAACACGGGGAUUACGAUAAAUUUAUCUGAACAAAGAUCUAAAUAAUUCAUUUAGUUGAUCGCCACAUAUGAUAGUUGAAUAUGAGGUUUUUGAAAGAAGUUUUCUGGCUUAUAUGACGUCACUUCACAUUCACUACUCGAAAGUUCAAUAACUCAAUCUAUGGACUCUAUGAACUUUUAUGUUUGUCUUUAACAUAUACGACUAAUUAAAAGUGAAUAAUUCUUGGUUGUAAACAUUCCUUCUGGUAUAUAACCAAGUGUUUGCUUGCAUCAAUUGCAUGUUUUCUAUAUUGUGGAAGGAGAAGAUGCAGAUAAGUAAUACUUGGUCAUGGUAGUAAAUAUUAGUUAAUGAAGUGAAAGAAAAGACAUCGCCCUGCAGCCAUUGGCUUGACAAUGGUGCACGAAUGCCUGAGAAAAUGCUAGUUUUAACGGUAAGCUUGUAUAUUGCCAAACAACCACAUAUAUGAUAUAGUGGGAAGACAAGUUUGUGUUACUGCUAUUCAAAAGACAAUUGCUUUUAUGAAGGGAGUUGACGUAGCAUUAUUUAGGCAAAAGGUGAUAAAUGUUUUGCAACUUGAGUAGUGAAUUUGUGAAGGUUGAGGUUUACUGGCUUUUAUGACUUUUUCAGUUCACAUUCAAUAAUCUAAAGAUUGUCCUUUUCUCUCAAGACUAAUAAAAGAGAAGAAUUCUUGGGUGCCAUGACAAAGUUUUGAGCUAUAAUUUGGAUAGGCAUAUGAAGAACUAAAUAUAUGGAUUGCCUCCAGGGGUUUGGUUUAGUGGUAAGAGCACAGCAUGAAAUGUGAGUAAAGCGCACGAUUCACGUUUGAACCCUACAACCAAAAAAGCUUGGCAUUUAAAUUGAGAAGGGUAGAGUGGCAGACGUUUUAUCCCAAGAGUCUCCAACCAUGUGUCUUUGGUCCUCACGGAUUUCUCAGUUGUUAAAACAAAGAAUGGAAUAUAUGCAUAUUAAAAAAUUCAUGGAAGCUGUGAACAUAUAUUUUAUUGUUAGGUCAAGGGUAAAGCUGAUAGACGAGAGGGGAGGAAGUCGAUCAGCCAUGUGAUAUGACCCAUAUUUUCUUAUAUCUUUUUUAUUGUAGUAACUUAUUAAGAAUCAUGUAUCAUCAUUAGUUGGCAACAUGGACAUAAUAUGUGUUCUAAUGAUGUAUUAUUUUUGUUCAGUCUAAUGUGAUCUUCCCGUACACCUUAUACUUCUGUUGAGAUAUCAAAAUAUGAAUUGUUCUACAUGUUAAAUUUAUAUCAUAUAGCCUUUGAAAUGCUUGAAAAGGUAAUAAAUAGGACUCGUCUGAUAUCAUUACCGGAAGGAAAUAGCUUAGGAGUUUCCAAAAGGUAGGCUUUUAAUUUUCUAGGUCACCUAAUUGUAUAAACCACUGACGCGUCAUGUCCACGGCCAUAGAGGACAUGAUGCUUCCUUUAAGUAUUGCGGUGAUCAACAGAUGAACUGUACUGAUCAAAACGUAGCAUUAGUCAUGGAUGUUCUAAUGACCAAUUUUCUAGCACACUGCCGGAUGAAUGGUAGUUAUGGUUAGUUUCUUAAGUCGCAUAGAUAUUGGCUUUAACGAAUUAAGAAGCUAGCGGACCUAGAUAAAUUCUUUUCAGAGUAAAUAUUGUUUUUCCGGAUUCACAACAUGGGGAAAAUUAAGUGAUAAAUAAGUAUUGAGAAGUACGAACCGGGAGCACUAGAAAUUAUGAGUUUGUCAUUAAAUGCAUUCAUUUAUUAAAAAUAGAAAAAAUCAAUAGUGGAAAACCAAUAAACUAAAGUACCUUUUUCCAUUCGGCAGGUUACAGCCCACGGAAUUCUGUUCAUUAAUUGUGUGGGUGCAGGUUACUUGGAUGUGGAUGUGUGUAGCUACCCUGAAAAAAAUCUAUCGUUGACUUAAGAUUUGGCAAUAGAUAAAAGGAUUAUCGCUGAAUUCGAUUUUAUUACUUGCAACUAAAGAAAUCUGGAAAAAACUUAUUCAAUGCUUUGACUUAGACUAGCAUGCCAAUGCAUUAAAUGCUUAGACCUGAUACGUGCUUUUUAUUUUUCUGUUGUUCUAUAUAUUUUCAGUUCCUUGACGGACGACCUUGCAUCCAACUUCAGGUUCUAGUUUGCGUUCUUCCAUGGGUCGCAAUAAGCGUGUGAUGAAGAAAAUUGAGGAUUCAACAUCCCGUCAGCGGACCUACUCUAAGCACAAGGAUAGUUUAGUUAAGAAGGCAAAUGAGUUGGCUAUUUUAUGUGACACAGAUGUUGCUCUUUUGAUGUUUUCUCCAACUGGUGAAGUGACCCGCUAUUCUAGCAGAGGAAGGUGAAUAUCUUAAUAAGUAAUUCACUUUAAGACAAUUUUGAGAUACAGAAUAUGAUAUGAUUUUUUUUGGGUUGUUUAGUGUUGAGGAUGUUAUGCUCCGUAUUGUGAACAAUCCUGGCGAACUGAACAGGGGGUAUGUUUACUUCAAUAUGCCAAAUCCGUGAAUUAGACUUUAACAAUUCCUUAUAUCUGACUAUCUCAAAUGUUUUUUUUGGUUGUCCCACUCCACAUGAUUGUUGAAGAUCCAUUUCUAAUGAACAGGUACCAAGUUUUACACAUCUUUUACUGAUCGCUAUCCUCUACCGGCAAUCCCUUGGAGUUUCAUCUGACCUUUAACAUGCCUUUGUUGCAGCAUCUCGCUCAGAGUCUCACAGAGUCAAAACAUGAAGGACAAAUGGUGGAAAAGAUUGCUGUGUACGCCACUCUCCUUUUGCACUCCCUUAUAGUUAUAUAUAGUAGUCUAUUUGUUCGUCAGAAUGGAUACGUGACUACUCUCUCUAUUUUCCUUUUUUCCUUUUCUGCUGGAUAUUUUUCUAUGUGAUUUAACAAUCUUUGUCUUUUUGCUGGAUGUUUUACAAUGCUGAUGAUUGGUAUGUGCUUUAGUGCCGAGGUAAGAUCUAAUGCCAGUAGCUAUAAGCUUAUAUUUGUUAUUACCGCCAGAUCAUAACUUGAUCUAUUGUUUUAUGUAUUUCCAUAUUAGGAUCAUAAGAAGAAGCUUAUGAUGCUCAAUCAAAAACUAAGUGAAGCACGAGAGAAACUAAGGUUGAGGAGUUCAUCGCUCUUUCUUUUUCUGUCCUGCUUCUCUUUUUUGAGAUUCUAAAGAUUUCCCUCUUCUAUAAGGAAUACUGAUUUCUUUCCUUUGGAUCGGGCAGGUGUUAUGAACCGCAAGUGGAGAAUAUCAGCUCAGUCCAAGAAGCUGAUGCAUACCAGGAGUUCCUUCUGAGUGCUAUGGAACAGAUACGAUCACAAGUGAGCAUAAUUUACUUCUGUAUCUUAGGGAGAGAGACACUGAAGGAAAAUAAGCUCAAUAAAUGACAACCCCCUCCCCUCAAAAAAAAAAAAAACACUAGUUGGUUAGUUGAGGAGUUAGGACCGGAGAAUCUUAGUAGCUCCGUUGGUUGGGCUACCUGAACUUAGACCUUGUUAGUGAAGGUUCGAUCUCCACUAUCUAGUCCCCUCCCUUAUCUCUCCUACCCCCAAUUGUUUGUUUAAAAAAGGUAUGAGGACCGGCUUGAUCAUGUUUUAUACUCUUCUUACCAGGCUAGACUCUUGGGUGGCAAAGGAUAUCUUCAGACAAAUGAAAAUGUUGGGGUAAAGUAAUUUUAAGCUGCACAAAAUUGCCAUUUUUUAUUGUAUCGUUCUUGGAAGGAUGCUUAACUGUCUUACUGACAUCCUGUAUGGAAAGUAACUGCUAUCGUUAUAAUUUCUAGGUGGCUUCGGUCAACACAGAGGUUACCGCUGCUGCAGGUAAUGGAUCUGCAUAUUCAAGUCCAUAUAGUUGAGGUCGGCUUUAUGAAUCCCAACUUCUUCAUUUGAACUUAUUUCGUAUCAUAUCAUAGUACUCGAUGAACUCUAUAGCCUCUAUUUUUGUUUGCAAACACUUGGAUGUUACUCUGCUGAAAUCUUGGUUCUCUGGAUUUGUAGGAACCAGUAGGGCAUACAAGCUGUGAGGAAAUAGACUGGAUCGCGACGGACCGAGCAUUAGCUUCUGGCGUCGAACAGCUCUAGCAGGAAUUAUAUUAUAGUAGUCUAUGUUUUAAGAACUUAGUAGAAAAUAACUUGCACACAUCAGGCAAGCAAAAGUAUCUUUUAUUAAUGCAACUUUUAGAGUUGUAGUUGUUGUAUGGCAUCAAACAUAGAUAUUGUGUUUGAAAUAGAAAACAAUUUGGUUUGGUAUUUAUUUUAACAAUGUUUGCAUCCUCCAAGUUCAUAAUAAGGUUAUUGUUAGUCUUCUGAACCUUGAAAUUAGAAUCCGGACCCUUGACAAAAAGUAAUACUUCCUUACUUUCUUAAAUUUUGAGUUAAGUUGAACCAGAUAAAAAAUUAAAACUGAGGGGCUGGGCCUUCUUGUAUGUUCCUUUAUUUAUAUUCUUUCUAUUUUUGAAUAAAUCAAUGGAGAAACAAAAACAAAUUGAAACGGAGGGGUCGGUAUGUGCCUUUAUUUAUAUUCAUUCUAUUUUUAAUUUAUCAGUGAUUGUAUUCGAUUUUUAAUUUAUCAAUGAUUGUAGGGGUAAAUAUAACUUACUGUUAGUCAUUUUGAUCUGCAUGACUCUCAUCUUUUACUUUUCCUAAAUUCAUUGAUAUUGCUGAUCUUCCAGGUAUGUUUUUGUACUUCCCCUUCUAUUUUAAUGGCUCUCUGCUUUGUUAAUUACUUUACUGAUUUAUUGCUUGUCCAUGCAAGAAGAAAAAUUUAUGGUUGAAAUCAAUUAGUACCCUAUUAUCUGUUUACCCACUACAACACAUUGCAUAUAUAGCUAUGAAAUCUUAGCUACGAAUUUAAAAUUGUGGCUAGUACUUAACAACAGCCAUAACAAUUUUAAUUUCAGGGCUAUUUCUAAAUUCAUACAAUUUCUCAGCUAUGAAAAUUAAAUUGGCAAAAUUAAUUUCUCAUUUUUGCUAUAUCUGCUAAUAAUCAUGUCAAUAAAUACCUAAAUAGCUUUAAAUCUAUUGUUACAAUGAAGUUCUGUAGCUAAUCAUAAGUUAUUGCUAUGCUAUAAAAGUUACCAUAACAAUAAUAUCAUGCUAGCCACGAUAAAUUAUUUGUAACAAAUUUUUAUAGUUAAAUAGAUUAUUGUGCUUCAAGUAAUAGAAAAUCGUGGAAAUGUUGAAUGAAUAAUAGCCACAUAUUUACUGCUACAGUAAAAUUUUGUAGCUAAUCAUAAGUUAUUGGCACGUGAUAAAAGUUUUCAUAGCAAUAAUAACUUUUCAGCCACAAUAAAAUUAUUUGACAUAAAAUUUUAUAGGUAAAAAAAUAUUUUUACUUCAAAUAAUUAAAAAGCACAGCAAUAAUUAAAUGAUUAGCCACAAAUUUAUUGCUAUAAUAAAUUUUUGGAGCUAAUCAUUAGUUUUUGCCACGAGCAGAAUUUACUAUUGUUAAUUUCUUAAAAAAAACUAUAGGUAAAUAAGUGUAUACUAAAACAUAUUAGCUUCGUGUGCGUGUAUUAUAAUUGUAUGUCACAUCAAUAUAAAAGAUAAAAUACAAAAAGAAUGAAGUCAAUCGAAGUUACAAUAUAUGUAACACUAUAUUCAAUUAAAAAAUAUAUGUAUUCUUAUAAUUUUAAUAUACGUGUAUGUAACAUUAAUUAAUUAACACAAAAUACAUACAAAAAAAUAAAUUAUUAAAAAUUAACAAUUAACGUUAAAAACAAGUGCAAUAUUUGCUCAAAUGAUUUGGUGUUAUUAAUUUUUUUUUAGUAAUUUAACUUAGUAAGUUGUGUUUCUCUCUCUCUCUAUAUAUAUUUUCUAUUAUAUAAUUUCUUCUUUAAAAAAAAAAAAGGAGAAAUCCAAUGCAAAGAAGGCGACUUAACUCUUUGUAUAAUAUUAUAUAAAUAUUUAAUUUUUUUAAAAGCUUCAUUUUUUAUAAUAUUGUAUACCAAAUUUUUAAAAUACUGCUAUAAGAAAAUAGUGAAUUAUGCAACUGAAAAAUAAAAAACACAACUACCUAGGUGCAAUGUAAUGUUAUGGGUGGAUCUCUUUGCUUGUAUUUAAAUGUAUUAAUUUAGUGUGUGUUUUGCACAUAUAGCUUAACGAUUAUUAUCAAAGUUAUAUUUAAAAGUAGUAAUUUUUUGAUAUAAUGCAUAACUUAAAUAAAUUUUGUUUAGCUUAUUAUAAAAAAUAAAGCUUACAAAAGGUGAAAAUUCUAAUUUUAGGAUAUAAUUAAUUUAUUUUUAAUUAAUAUAAAAAUUAUUUUUAAACUUUAUAUAGUUCAAUUAGCAUUUCACUUAGGAGCUACUCUACAAUAGGCGGCCGUCUUAGGCCUCCAAAUUUGAGGGGCCUCAUUUUUUACGAUAAUAUACUAUAAUUUUAAAAAAAAAUUAAAUAUUAUUUAUAGAAAAAUAAGUUUUUUUAUAUAAAAGAAAAAAAUUAGUAGAAAAAGUUCAUAUAUCUAGAAUACUAUGUCUUAGGAAAGACUAAAUGCAUUGAUUAUAUUAUUAAUUACUUAAAAAAAAUUAGAAAAUAUCGAUUAUAUAAUUUUGAAAAUAGUGUUCAUUAAAAAAAAUUAUUUUUUCGUAGGCCUCCAUUUGAUUUUGCCUUAGGCCACGAAUAUAUUUGAGCCGCCCUUGAUUUCACUUUGAGAUUUCAAGCUUUUAUAGUGUACUACUUUAACUGCAUGUGCCUCGCACGUGUAAAUUUUGAUCGUUUAAAAUUAUACUUUGUCUAUUGUAAAAAACUUUAAUGAAGUUCAAAAAGUUCAAAUCAUUUCUCAAAGAUCCUUCUCACUUUAAUAUAAUAAUGAAAAUGCAAAUAAUGUCUCUCUCUCUCUAUAUAUAUAUAUAUAUAUACACCACCAAAAGUUUCAGGUGGUUAGUGAAUCGUCACUUUUUAAUUUGUCAUGCAAUAUCUCUUUUCCUUACUGUGAGAGACUAAAAGAGAUCGAUUUGAAGUAUAUUUGUAGUAUAAUUUUUUUUAUUAUAUUUAAAAUCUUUUCUUAUUUUUAAAAUUAAAUCUUUAUAAAAUCUUUGAUUACUUAUUUAAAGUUUUUAAAAAUUUGAUAGUUUUUUUUUAUUCUAGAGCUUUUAUAAUUAUUUUUAGUUUUUUCAAAUCUUCUAAUUAUUAAACUAAUGAAAAAGGUAUUAUUUGUCAUUAAUUUAUACCACUUCUAAUAAGAAAAAAAUUUACUAUAAAUAUUUAAUUAAUUUUUAACUCUUAAAUAUUAGAAAAAUAGUGAAAAGAUGAUUUUGUCUAAAGCAGAGCCUUUUAUUGAAGAAAAAAUUUCAAACAAUAUUUUUAAGGUCAUUCACACUUUUAAUAUAUUGUAGAUAUAGAUAUUUAACUAGUUACCGAAAUAAUUGUGUAUAUUUAACCGAAGAUGACUAAAAAUUGAAAAAAAAAAAAAUAACACCUUCGAUUAAAGUGAAAUAACUUAAAAUAUGUUGUGUUUCUAUAUCUUUUUAAUGAAUUCUAUAAUUAAAAAAAAUAAAAAGAAGAGAAAUCCGCAUAAUUAUUAAUACAAAAUGAAUUUAGACUCUCUAAAUCUUUUCUUGUACAUGUCUAUUGUGAGUUAGAAAAAAUUUGAUGGAAUUAGUUUAUUUAAUAAAGAAUUUCUUUUUAUAAGUUGAGUAAGAAUUAUUGAUGUAAUAGUCUAGUACUAUUUUAAUAACCCAAUUUAGGGAGAAAAACAAUAUUAUCAUAAAUAUAAUUAAAUAUUAGUUAUUAAAAAAAAUAAAAUUAAAUAUUAGUUAAAACUUUUUCCUAUUUUACUUGAUUAAGUUAUAUAUUUAUACUCUUUAUUUUUCGUACAUAAUUUAGUUCCAUAUAUAUACUAUUUUAAUAUGUUUAGAUUGUGUUCUAGAACACCAAAUAAUACUACUUUUUGAAAGUAAAAGAAAACAUAUACAAGGAAAUGAAAUAAAAAGUAACAACUAACACGAGACCAAGGCCCAUAGAAAACCUAUGUAUUAUAUAUCCCCAUUUCGUUCUCAGCCGCCACACUCCUUCACCUUUUCCAUAUUUUUCUUUUAAAUUUACUGAUAAGUUUGUGCCGUUCUCCUUCAAGGUAUAUUCAUAUUUUAGUAUUCCUGAAUGUUUUUAUAUCAAUUUGAGGUUAAAUUUUAUGGGUUAUUCUAAUGAGUUGAUAAAUAUGGAUGCAUUUAUUAAUUUUUUGUUAAGAUUUUAUUAGCAUUAUAAUAAAUUAAACUUGCAUUUUGUAUUAAAGUUUCUCUUAGAUAUGCUAAUUUUUUGUGCUAAUUAUUUUUUUUGUUCUUUUUUUGAAUUUAUAGGGCGCGUUUUACUAUUUGAAUGUAAGAAGUUUAUGGAUUCAACCUUGAUGCAUAAAGCGAAGCAAUUUCGUCCUUGAAUACAAUAGGAUCAACAUCUCCAAUACCCAAAUCAAAUAUUAGUGCCUUUUUUGUUAAAUUUAAUGUGGAACCUUUAAAAUUUAUAGUACAAAGCUUUUAUUUUGAUAAGACUUUAAAUUUGAGCUCUUAUUACCUAGUCUCUCAUUAGCAAAUUUGUUUGUGCGAAAUUCUAUAUUGUCUCUUAUAAUUGUAGAAAAGUUGUGGGUUUUGCAUGCCAUGAACUUAAAUAUUACAGUUGUAUAUUUUAGAAUUAAGAUUUGAAAUUAUUCAAAAGUCAUUGUAUAAAUUUAGUGAUAUUCAAAGCUUAUUAUGUUUCUAGUUUUCAGAAAAUAUGAAUGAAUAUGGUUUUAAGAAUUUAAAAAAAAUUAAGAAAGUAACAUCGGAAAAAAUUAUGGUCACUAAUAAAAGAAAAAGGUCUAUAAAUUAAAAUAUAAUUAAAAAAUUUGAUCAUAAUAAAAUAUAAUUUUAAAAAUAUAAUUACAGAUAUUGUGGCUAUUUGGUUGGUAGCUAUAAAAAAAUAAAUUUGUAGCUAAACAUAUAACUACGUAUUUCAAUCUUGUGGCAAAAUAGUUAUGUCUUUUGCCGCAAUAAUUUCUUUUGUGGCUAAAGUAUAAAUAGCUACAAAGUAGAUUUUUCGUGGCAAAGCUACUAGCUAUAAAUAUAUAUUUUCGUGGCAAUUAUACUUUUAUAGAAUAGCCACAUCACAAAAAUUCUUGUAGCAAUAGGUAUUAAUCCUUAGCCAUGAAACGUUAAAGUUUGUAGCUGACUUUUAGUUACGUCACUUCUAGCUACGCAUGCUACGGAAAAAAUUAUGGUAGUUAAAGUGUUUAGCCAUGAAAGUUUUUAUAUUUAGCUACGACGUAUUUUAUAGCUAUAUAUGCACAUUGUUGUAGUGACCUCAAAUGCAUGAAUGUGUUCAGUAUAAUGUCUUUGGAAACGCACCCAAGUGUGAGGCUUAGUGAUAAAGGUUAAUAAUCAUGAUGUCUCAGAUUCAAAUCUCCCGUACCUAAAUCUGAGUGGGAAGUGGAAGUGUGUGAAAACUGACUCAAAGUAUGCUUGGUUAGAGAGUGAGACUUUUGAUUAGAAUACUUAUCCAUGUAAAUCAUUUUUUGAACCACCAUUGGCACUAUAAUGGAAGCUUUUGAGGAUUACUGAAAGUGAUGGGAGCUCUUUGAAGCUUUGGGAAGUAUCUGGGACAAUUUAACACGUGGACUAAUAAGAAUGUGGAAAAGAGAGAGAGAGAAAACAUGAAACUUGUUGAUGAUCAUGGAAGUGAUGGGAGCUCUUUGAAGCCUUGGGAAGUAUCCUGGACAAUUUAACAUGUGGAGGAAUACUAAUGGGAAAAAGAGAGAAACAAAACAAAAGGAGAUAUAGAUUAACUUUAGCAAGCAGUUGUGAGUAAGAUAGUGAAAGAGUUUCAAUUUCCUUUUCAAUUUUGAACAAGAACCCAUGCCACAUGUAUAAACUUUUCAAGGACUUUAGAAUGUUUCAGGUAGAUUAGGUGUUGAACUAUUACCAAGAAAUGGAAUUGCCUUGUCAAAGCAUUUAUUGCCACGUGGGAAAGAAUGGAAAUGAAAGACAUGACACUAUCUGACUUGACAGCACUGCACGAAUACCUGAGAAGAUGCUGGCCUUGGUGGCCCAUAAUGUAUCUGGUGCCAUGUCAAACAACGACAAAUAUAUUAUUGUGGGAAGAAAAAUUUGAGAUUAUCCAAUGCAAAUAAUCAUUGCUUUUAACAAGGGGCUUACAAAAAAUUUAUUUGAACAAAGUUUCAAAUCCUUCUUUUAGGAGCUCACCACAUCUGAUGGUUGAGUUUGAGGUUUUGAAAGCUGUCGUUUUCUGGCGUAUAUGACGUCACUUCACAUUGACUACUCGAAAAUUCAAUAACUCAACAUAUGGACUCUAUGAACCUCUUCUCUUUUUCAUGUACGAUUAAAAGUGAAGAAUUCGUUGUGUUCAACAUUCCUUCUAUUAUAUAACAAAUUAUUUGCUUGCAUCAGAUGCAUGUUUUCUGUGCUGCGGAAUGUGAAACUUCUAAUAAGUAUACUUGGUCAUGGUAGUAAAUAUUAGUUAUAGAAGUAUUCCGUCCUGUUCAUUGUUGUUCUCCUUCAAAAUCUAGAUUUAUUCUUUCUGGUGUACAUCCACCUAUUUGGUUUCUAGACAACAUUAUCUAGACAACAACAACACAACAUACCCAUUAAAAUCCCACAAGGUGAGGCAUGGGGAGGAUAAAGAGUACACAGACCUUACCCCUACCUUGUGAGGGUGGGGAGGUUGUUUCCGACCCUUGGCUCAAGGGGAUAAGAAAAAUAAGUAGUAUACAAGAAGUAACAUCAGCAACAUGAUAAGAUAAACAAAGUGAAAGAAACAAUCAGGUAAAACGGAACGACAAUGCUUUCGUCGAAUAUAACUUCCAUGGAAGCUGGGGAAGUGUUUCACAGAUCAAGUGUUUACCUAUUGACAAGCAACUGGAAUUAGAAUGUAAAACACUUGAAAAGGAGUGGAAGACAAGACAUCCUCCUGCUGCCAAUUGGCUAUACAACGGUGAACAAAUGCAUGAGAAAAUGCUAGUUUUGAUGGCAAGCAUAUAUGUGAUACAGUUAUAUUUGAUACAGUGGGAUAAAUUUGUGUUACAGCAAUUCAAAAGACAAAUUGCUUUUAAGAAGGGAGUUAGCGCAGCAUUAUUUGGGAAAAGAUUAUGUUUGCAACCUCAGGUAGUUGAUACUGGAUUUUACGUUCAGGAUCAAAGGGUGCCAUAAUAAAGUUUUGAGCAAUAAUUUGAAUAGGUAUAUGAAGAACUAAAUAUGGAUAUCAAAUUUUUUUCCUAGAAGUUGUGAACAUAUAUUUUAUUGUUAGGUCAGGGGUAAAGCUGAUAGACGAGUAGGGAGGAAGUCGAUCAGCCAAGUCAUAUGACCUAUUUUGUCUUAUAACUAUUCUAUUGUUGUAGAAUAACUAUGUAUCACGUUUUAUCAUUAGCUAGGUGCAUGGUCGGAUCUACACCACAAGUUACAGGUUCGGCGGCACCCAAUAGCUUUGAUUCAAGCUCUAUAUUUAUUUUAAAAAUUCUCAUAGUAUGUACAAUUUAUCUUAUACCGAUCGUCAUUCUGUUUUAUAAUCCAGAACCUAUAAAGUUAAAAUGUUGAUCUGAGGUUAUAGGCCUACUAAAAAGAAAUAGUUUUACUCUAUAGUGACAUGAGACAAUUUGUUUUUAAUGAUGUAUUAUUUUAGUCCUAUGUGAUGUGAUUAGCAUACACCUUAUAGUUCUCUUGAGAUAUAAAAAUUCUUCUAUAUGUUAAACUUAUAUCAUAUAGCCUUUGAAAUGCUUGGAAAGGUGAUGAUAAGACUCGUCUAAUAUCAUUACCAGAAAGAAAGAGCUUAGAAGUUUCCAAAAUGCAGGCUUUUAAUUUUCCAUGUCGCCUAUUGUAUAAACUGCUCUCACACCAUGUCCUUGGCUGUUGAAGGAGGGAGGAGGGGAUGGGGAGGGGUGGGUGGUGCAAGGAGAAUAAAGAAGGAAGCUUCCUUUAAGCAUUAUUAAUUAUUGUCUAGCAUGAAGCCGGAUGAAUUGACUUACUGUUAGUUUCUUAAGUCAUGUAGAUGCUGGCUUUAACAAUUUGAGAAGUUAGCAAGAACUAAAUUCUUUUAGGAGUUAAUGUUAUUUUCCAUAUUCACAACAUGGGGAAAAUUAUGAGAAUUUUGUUAAAUGCAUUUACCUGAAAAAGAAAAAGUCAAUGCAGGAAAAUAAAUAAACUAAAGUACCUUUUUCCACUCGGCAGGUUACAGCCCACGGAUUUCUGUUCAUUAAUUGUGUGGGUGCAGGUUAUUUGGCUGUGGAUGUGUGUAGCUGCACCCCCAAAAAAAAAAAUUAGAGUUGACUGAAGAUUCGGUAAUAGAUAACAGGAUUACCACUGAAACUCGUUUUCUUCACAAAAUCUUUCUAUAUCUGAUUCAAUAUUGGAUUUUCUAUUACUUGCAACUAAUGAAAUCUAGAAAAAACUAAUUAAAUUCUUUGACUUAGACUAGCAUGUUAACGCAUUAAAUGCUUUGACCUUCGUGCUUUUUUCUUUUCUCUUGCUCUAUAUAUUUCUCAGUUCCUUGACGAACAACCUUGCCUCCAACAUCCGGUUCUAGUUUGCAUCCUUCCAUGGGUCGCAAUAAGCGUGUGAUGGAGAAAAUUGAGGAUCCAACAUCCCGUCAACUGACCUAUUCAAAGCUAAAGGAUAGGUUUGUUAAGAAGGCAGAUGAGUUGGCUAUUUUAUGUGACACAGAUGUUGCUCUUUUAAUGUUUUCUCCAACUGAUCAAGUGACCAGCUAUUCUAGCAGAGGAAGGUGAAUAAUCCUCAUAAGUAAUUCUUAUGAAUAGAAUUUCUAGAAUGAUCUUUUUGAAUGUGAUAUGAUUUUUCUUUGGUUGUUUAGUGUUGAGGAUAUCAUGCUCCGUGUUGUGAACCGUUAUGGCAACCCGUACAGGCAGUAUGUUUAUUUCAAUAUGACAAAUCUAUGAAUUAGACUUUGCCAAUUCCAUUUAACUGACUAUGUCAAUUGUAUUUUUUUGGUUGUCCCACUCCACAUGAUUGUUGAAGACCCAAUCCAAACGAACAGGUACUAAGUUUUACUCAUCUAUUACUGAUUGCCCUCUGUCGGAAAGUCCUUGGAGUUACAUCUAACCUUAACAUGCCUUUCGUUGCAGCAUUUGAUGCAGAGUCUCACACAGUCAAAAUAUGCAGGACAAAUGGUGGACAAGAUAGCUAUGUAUGCCACUCUCCUUUUCACUCCGUUUAUAUGUAUUAGUCUAUUAGUUCGUCAGUGUGGAUACGCGACUUCUCUCUUUCUUUUCCUUUUUUUCCUUGUUUUGCUUGGUAUUUUUCCACGGGAUUGAAUAAUUUUUGUCGUUUUGCUGGCUAUUUUACGAUGCUGAUGAUUGGUCAACGUGCUUUAGUGUCGAGGUAAGAUUUGAUGCCAGUAGUUAUAAGCUCAUAUUUGUUAUUACUGCAAAAUCAUAACUAGAUAUAUUGUUUAUGCAUUUCCAUAUUAGGCUCAUGAGGCUGAGCUUAUGAAACUCAAUCAACGACUACGUGAAGCACAAGAGAAAAUGAGGUUGAAAAGUUCCUUACCUCUCUUUCCUUCCCGUCUUUCUCUUUUCAUCUUGCAUCUCUCUUUUUAUAUUCUAAAGAUUCCCCCUUUUAAGGAAUAAUGAUUUUUUUCUCUUGUACGGGGCAGGUAUUAUGACCCACAAGUGGAGAAGAUCAGCUCAGUCCAAGAGGCUGAUGCAUGCCAGAAGUUCCUUAUGAGUGCUAUGGAACAGAUUCAACGAUCUAAAGUGAGCAUAUCUCAAAUCCUGAUGCAAUUUUUUACUUCUAUUUCCUAGAGGGAGAAACUCUGAAGUAAAAUUAAUCCUCUCCACCCCCUAACCCCCAAAAAAGUAUCAGUUGGUUAGUUGAGGAGUUAGGACCGGCGUGAUCAAGUUUUGUACUCUUUUUACCAGGCAAGAAUCUUGGGUGGAGAAGGAUUUGUCCAGGGAAAUGAAAAUGUCGCGGUAAAAUAAUUUUAAGCUGGACAAAAUUAUGGCUUUUGAUUGUAUACGGAAAGUAACUGUUUUAGCAUUAUAAUUUUUAGGUGGCUUCCGUCAACCCAGAGGAUGCGUCUUAUGCUGCAGGUAAUGGAUCUGCAUUCAAAUUCAUAAUAGUUGAAAUUGGUUAUAUAAAUCCUGACUUCUUCAUUUAAACUCAUUUCAUAUCAUCAUAUCAUACUGAUCGGUGAACUCUAUAGCCACUAUUUUUAUUUUCAAACACCUGGAUGUUACCCUACUGAAAUCAUGGUUCUCUGGGUUUGUAGGAAACAGUAGGGGAAACAAGCCGUGAGGAAAUAGACUGGAUCGCGACAGACCAAGCAUUAGCUUCUGGCGUCGAACAACUCAGAGGAAUUAUAUUGUAGUAGUCUUAUGUUUGAAGAACUUAGUAGAAAAAUGUGAUUAAUGUUGCAUUUGUCUAUGGUUAAUUUAACUUUUAGAGUUCUUAUAUGACAUCUAAUAUAGAUAUUGUGUUUGGAAUUGAAAAAUAUUUGGUUUUAUUUUGGUAAUGUUUGCAUCCUCCUAGUUCACAAGGCUUUUGUUAAUUUUCUGCAACCUUGAAAUUAAAAGCUAGAUACUUGACGAAAAGUAAUGCUCCAUCUUUUUUAAUUUGAUUGUCUUAUUUUUUGUUAGUCAAUUUCAAUUUUCCCUUUUAAUCUAUCCAUAAAAGAAUAGGCCUUUCUUAAUUGACAAUUCGCCAGUUCUAAGUUUCCAUGUGACAUGAUUAAUAGGUAUUUUGAUACAUCCUUUUGUAUAUUUGAUUUAAGAUCACACUAUUUGAGAGUCUUUUUUACUUUCUUAAAGUAAAUGUUGUGUCAAAUUAAUAUGACAAAUAAAUUGAAAUCAAGGAAGGUCCUUCCGGUGCAUGUAUAUUUAUUUCUUUCUUUCUAUUUUUGAUUAUCAAUGAAGAAACAAAUUAAAACGGAGGAAGUGCUAUAAAAAUGGACAAGAUAAUAAUUUGAGGAUAAAAGAAUUUCUGUUAGGUUCGUCAAACUUUUUAAAAUAAUUUUAAUGUACUUUUAUUUAGUAUUGGACAUUACUUUCGUUAAAAAUAAAGAAAUUGAUGGUCAAUUUUACAACAAGAACUAUUACUACAUCUACAUAUUAUAUUAACUCUCUUUUUCCAAAUUCUCCAUUUCUUUGGAACACAAGGAGUAAUAAACCCACAACAACAAUAAUAAACAGCAUUCAGUCUCAAGCAGGAUAAUUGAUAAAUAUCUCAUAAUACAACAAAUUAAGAUGAUUUGUUUACAUGUGUGGCGGAAGAUUAUUAAUUGCUUGAGAACAUGAUUAUUUGAUAAAUAUCUCAUAAUACAACAAAUUAAGAUGAUUUGUUUACAAGAGUGGCGGAAGAUUAUUAACUGCUUGAGAACAUGAUUAUUAAACUUUAAAGUUCUAAUAUCAAAGAUAUGCAUGUCAUUUGAAAUAAAUUUAUGGCAAAUGAGAUAUCAAUAGUAAAUACAUGAGAAUAUAUAACUAGACAAUUUAUCUUUACCCGGCUUAAAAAAUAUUGCAUUUUUUUUAAAUUAAUAACUAGAUAUUAAAAAUAUGUUAAACAUUUAUUUAGUCUUCAAAUUCAAAGGAUGAAAUUUUAAGUUUUAAUCAAUUUCAUUGUUAACACUUCACUUUAUUUUUUUUGAAUAAUUUUCAUUACUUGAAGUUUUUAGCUAAUAACGAUAUUGAUAUAUAGGGAAAAAAAAUCUCAAUUUUAGCAGAAAAGAUGUGGCAUGUCUUUAAAGUCAAUAAAAUAUUUUUCUGAAGAUUUUAUCCCAUUCAAUUUUUUAUUAAAUUUUGAUUUUGAAAUUUUAAAUGUUUUUCAAUUUUCUAUAAAGAUAUAUACGACCAACCAUUGUUCCUAAAACUCAAAUUUCAUAGAGAAAAUUAUAUACAAAGUGCUAGAGAGCUUAUGAAUACAAGUAAUAAUAUGAAAUUCAUAUGUUACAAUUUUUAGGUAUGACUAAAAUAAUAGAGGAAGAAAAUAAUGUGACAUAUUUAAUAUAUAUAUAUAUAUAUGUAUAUAUAUACAUAAUUUAUCUUUUUAGCAAUAUGUUUAGGGGGAAAUUGAGAGAAAAAUGUCAAAAAAAAAGAGAGAAUAAUGACAAAGCCAAAUUAAAUCACUUUUCUUAUUUUCAGAUUUAUAUGCAUAUAUAAAUAUAGAUAUAUGCAUCGUUAGGUACCAAAAAGAUAUUUACAAAAAAAAAUAAAAAAAAAUCGAGCUAAUGAAUAAAAGAAAAACGAACACCUUCUUUCUUUUCUUUUUCUACGGUCUCUUCGUAGAAUUUUAUGAUUGGUUAAAAUUGAUCAAAAGCUAAAAAAUAAUGUAACAAAAAAUAUAAAAAAAUUAAUGAAAUAUAAAAAAUCAAUUAAAUAUAUAUAUAUUGUUGAACAUAUUCUCAUAUUGCCAUCAUAGUGCCCUCCUUCCUCUCUAAAACUUUAGAACAUGAAGCUUGCAGUCAUCAUCUUCCACAGAUCAAAUAAGAACUUUUUCAUAACCUUGCACACACAUCAUAGGAAGAAAUUACAAAGCAAAAAAGAGAGAAUAUAUGAAUUAUUAGAGACCCAAAAGUAAAACCAAAAAAAGCUAAUGAAUACAUAAUAAUUGUCAUCUGCUUUCAUUUCUUUUUCUAUAAUCUAUUUGUAGUAAUUUGUGAUUGACAAUUUAAAAAGUAUGAAACAAAAAAUAGAAAAAAAGCAAUUAAAUACAUACAUCCUUAGUUGAAAAUAUUUUCAUACUACCCUCCCCCUCCAAGACUUUAAAACAUGAAACCUCUAUUUCUUUCUCUAAGACUUUGAGACAUGAAACUUCUAUUCCUUUCUCUAUUUGUCUUAAUCAAUACUCUAGCUAAUACAGGAUUGAGCACUAUAGUCAUAAUCUUCUAUAAAAUUAAAUUCAUAAUUUUUCAUAACCUUAUACAUACAUCAUAAACAUCAUAAAAUAAAUCACAAAUUCAAAAAGUAAAAAAAAAAUAAAAGAAUAAAAUAAAAAUGAUAAAGAGAAGAAAAUGCUAACUCAAAAGUUUUAAUAAAUUGAGUGAAAGUAAUAGAGAUGUUACCUUUUUCGUCUUUCUUCAAAUACAUUUAUACACAACCUCAAUAGAUUUUUAUAUUGAAUUUACAUAUUUUUUUUAAUAGUCAUAAUUAAUACUAAUGGUGGUACAUUAAUAGACAUACUUGAAACGGUAAAAUUUGAAAGGGUGAAAUGAUAAUAACUAUUCUUGUAAUAAUAUAAUUGUGCAAUAAAUCUUGCUAUAACUUCAUAAAUUAUUAUUAAUCUUUUAGUAAAAAAGAAUGAAUUAAAAUGCCAAAAAAAUGAGAAAAGGGAUAAAUUGAAAUCUUGGCCUUAGAAAGGUGUCACAUAGGCAUAUCGAUAACUAUCUUUUAUAUAUAAAUAUACUAGUGUACUAUCCCGCGCUUCGCGCGGUUGGAAAAAGAUAUCUCUUCUAAGAAUGUUAUAAAUAAUUUCAAGUGGAGUACUUUGUAUAGUUUGAAUGAAAAUUUUAUUUAUCUUUAAGCUCAUUUAUUAGAAAAAAAUCGUAAAUUCAAAUUCUUUAAGCUCAUAUAUAUANNNNNNNNNNNNNNNNAUAUAUAUAUAUAUACGUGUCUCGUGCGAGUUCACUUUGAUAUUUUAAUUAGUAAUUAUCUAUCAAAAUAUAUGAUUAGUUAUUUUUGUAAACAUAUUAAAAUUUUAAAAAAACUUACAAUAAAUCAUAGGAAAAUUUGUCUUUACAAUCAUAGCUACUAUCAAUAUUUCACUAAAAACUUCUUAAUCAGCAAUUGUCUAUCACGAAUACAUAAUAAUUUAUUAUUUAAACUUCAAGAACAUACUAAAAUUUUAGAAAACUUACCUCAAAUCAGAAACAACUUUAUUUUUUUAAUCAUAGAUAUUAUCAAGAUUGUAAACAUCAAGAACUAAACUUUUAAAAAGUUGACCUCGAAUCACAAACACAUUUUUGAAUGACCAUAACAAGAAAAACUUGUUGGAAAACUACAUUGUGGACGUAUUGUUGUAGAAUGAAAAGAUUCUCAAUUUAUAAGAAAUUUUAAGUUUAGUUUUUCUUUCUUUCUCCCGAUAUUUUUGAUGUCCUUUGUCGGUUUCAAUUCAUAAUUAUUUAAAGGAUAAAUUAGCCUUUAUGAUCUUUUUUGUUUUUAGAUUUUUUUUUCUUUUUGUUUCUCCGUACUUUUUUUUGUGUCCUUUUUCGAUUUAAAGUAUUCUUUCUUUUAAUUUAAUUUAACAAAUUAUAUAUAAGGAAAAUUUUUAAUUGAUUUAGAACUGAUAAAUAUUAUGAUUUCUUUCCUAACUUAAAUAAAAACUUUAAUUAAUUUCAACGUCCUAUUAUUAACAAUAGUAAAAUAAUAAUAAUUUAAAAGUGAAAAGAGAAUUUUAUCUAAAAAAAAAACUUUUAAUAAAGGACAAAAAAUUCAAAUCACUCAUCUAAGGGUCUUCACAAUUUUCAUAUAUUGUAGAUGUAGAUGUACAUGUAGAGUCUAUAUGGUUUAAUGCAGUACGAUUAUAAAUUUAACAGAUUUUUUUUUAUUUUUGUGAAGGAAAGAGAGGUUAAUUAAUUUUUGAUAAGCAUUUAUAUUUUUAUCCAUACUAUUAUGGCUUUAUUGGGACAUUUUUGUAAUCUAACUCUUAACUUGAAAACUUCCUACUUUUAGCUUAUUGUAGGUGAUUUGCACAAGUGUCUUGCAUCAAUCAAAUAAAUUAUAUACACAACUAUUAUUCAAAAGUAGCAAUUGACGUUAAAAUAUAUGAUAUAUCUAUUCAAAUCAUAUAAAAUAUACUGUAUCUCAAAUUAUGACACGUAAAUUGAGUCAGACUGCUUAUCGGACGGACCGGUUGUAUAAUUAUGUUUAACAAUUUAACUUAUUGGCUAUCGACUUUUAAGUGUACUAAACCGCCAGUCAACCGAUAAAAUAACGAUUGAUUCGAUAUCAGAUUGACAAUUAAAUGAUGAUUAUCGGAUAGUGUAUAUGUGAGAAUAAUGAAAUAUCAAUAGGUCCUCACUUUUUAACGGAUUAAAUUAUUUAUAUGUACCAUGAUUCAUCAAUUUAACAAUCUUUUAAUUAGGCUUGUUGAGUUUUUUCCGUAUAAACAAACUUCUUGCUAAACUUCUCUAGGUAGCCUUCGUGCCUAAUUAAACUGCUCAAAAAAUAAUAUCCACAGCUAAUAGAAAAGGUAGGAUUUUUCCAAUUUUGAGCUACGUGCUUAGAUGGAGAACAUGCUUCCAAAGUAUUAUCUAGUCAACCUGUCAAAAGAUAUAUGUAGUGUGUAAUUGUCUAUUUUAUCAGAAGUAUUUAGUUUAUUUUAGCUUCUUCAUCAGUUCUACAAAUUUAUUUUUUUUUCGUGUUACACUGACUCUUUCAAAAUAUUAAUGUUUCCAUAUUGAAUUUUCUAAUGAUAGUGCAUUAUGAUAGUGCAUUUUGGAGGAUCCAAACACAGAUGAAGUAACAUUUUCUCCUAGUAACAUAGUUAGGGAUCGUACCCUAACAAAUAUACAAAUGCAUCAAUAUGUGCUAUAAAUGAACGAAUGCAUACAUCAAAGAGUAAUAUCUCCAAAUUGAUCCAAAUCGAACCAUAAACACCCCUACACUUGUGUAAUGGUUGUAACUUUUAGUGACUCUUGGGCUUUUAAUAUAUAUGUAAUUAAUAAUUAAUUGCAAAGAAUGAGUGAAAAAUCAAUAAAAAAUGUACAUUUAAUUUUAUGUUUUUGGUAAUUUUAUUUUAUUUUAGAAAAACAAUAGAGACAAAGAAGUGGCAAAACAUAAAUAAGUCACUCAAAACAUUCGUUUCGUUCAAUUUAUGUAUGGAACAAACAAAAUUGACAUCAUUUUCUUCAAAACGUCAAUCUCGAAAUUGCAUAUGGAACUUCUCUUUCCAUUCUUUUUAUCCUUCCUUUUUCUUUUUGAUCAAGUUUUUAUACCAGAAUCUCAAAAAAUCAGCAUAUAUGCUCUUGUCGUUUCUUCUAUAAAUUCGAACAGUUAUUUUAAUUUAGUAUAUAGAUUGAAAGUAUCCAUCUAUCCAUCUAUUCAUCUGCCCAUCUACCCAUCCAUCCAUCUAUCUAUGAUAGUGUAUUUGUUUUCUUUCUUCUUCUUGCUUCAUUCCAUGAUAGUGUCAUAAACAUAUCCACGUCUCCAUUGUUGUGUCAUAAAAGAGCUAUUUGCAUAGAAGUAUAUGAAUUGUAUGAUAGCAGUAUUGAUGUCUUGAAAAUAAAUUGGCCUUCGAUUUGCUAUUUAUUUAACAAUAUACUUGUUUAUGCUAAAUUGUAAUACCCAAGAUUUGGAUAUAAUGUCAAUUUAUAUAGGGUUAAAUUUUAAAGGUGAAAAUUCUUUUCAUAUUCUAUAAUUAAUUACUGAUUUAUGUAUAAACCUAUAACUGAAAGAAUUUGAAGGAAUCCAUAAGGGGUAUAAACUGUAACCGAUAGAAUAGUUAAUUUUAUAAUUGAAGGCCUAUGUUAAUGCUAAUGGUUCUAUUAUUUUCUGCGUAACCUAUAGUAUACUAUUCCAAUUGAAAAGGAGGCAAUUAUUAUUUAUUUAACAUGAAAAAUGAGAAGAAAAUGCCAAAAAAUUAACAAAAUACAUAAAUAAGAAUGCUGAUCAUUGAGAGAUGCCAUGUCAUCACCUCUUCUGCAUUUCUUUAUUAUUAUAUACAAGAUGUGUUUCCUCUUCUGGGGUUUGAUUUCAAGGUUAUAGGGAAAUAUUGACGAAAAUUUUUCAUCUAUUUCCCUAUAGUCGUUUUCAGGGUCCACAAUUCUUUAAUCAAGGAUCAGAACAGACCCAAACAAUUUCUUUAGCAUUUUCUGGAACAAUACAUAAAUCUUUUCUGAAAUAUAAAGGACCUUCUGGACAUCCCUGAGAUACAAAUCAUGGGACUGGUUUUCGAUACUUUGACAAUAAUUUGCAAGUGGAGUGAAAAAUCUUAGUCCGACAAUAUAUUAGAGAAAGAUCAAGCAAUAGCUAUAAAAGGCAAUAUCUACUUGAAAAUUCAAAGUCGAUUAUAAAACAAAUGAAUACCUUGUACAAGGUCUGUAUAAGAAACUUCUCAUUGAAACCCCAGCUACUGUUGCGCAUAAGUGGAGUUGUGACAGAAAAGAGAAGAAUAACAAUAUGAAGCUUAAUCAGAUCUUUAAAUUCCAUCGCAAAAAAGAAAUCUACAAACUCUUUCAUGAGAGACAACAUUUUAUCUGUUCAGAUAGAAAGAUUAAUCCAGUCUAGGCAGACCAAAGUUCACCAGCCGGGUAGCAUCUCUGCGACUCUGUCUAUUUACUGUGUAAGAAAUACAUACUUCACAGUUCUCUAAAAAAAUCUCACAGGAAAUAGAGAAAAGGAAAAGGACAACCUAGUAGUACAUAUGAUGAAAUAUUUGUUGUGUAUAACACUAUAACGUAAGGCUUAGUUAGGCUACAAAUCAAAGGGAUCAAGGCAAUUGAAUUAACUCAGUAAAACUUCAAGGAAAGCAAUCUCAUGGUUGAUGCAAGUCAAAACCUGAAUUCCCUGAUAAAUUAUAUGAAGUUAUAUCAUUCAAAUUGGUCAAGGCAGAUGUGUUCCUACGCAAAUUUAUAGCUUUGAAAGUACCAUCUCUGCAAACAUAUCAGUAAAAGAAUCAGACAUGACCAAGAAAAAAGAGGACAAAUAGGUAGGUUAUAUAUUAAGAAAAAUCAUGUAACAUUGAUCCAAUUUCUACUCCACUACUUUGCCUACGCAAUGAACCUGCAACAAUAGAAUUACAUGCACUUGUAACAAAACACAAGAAAUACAUUUUUGGAGCAUCAAGUAGCAAAACCUUGCAAUAAAGCAAAACAAUCCACAACGAUAAUAUUCAGAAACCAAAAACUACGCUAAUGAUAUAAAGGAUAUCAAAAGGUCAUACAUGAAUGCAUAUUAAGAUAUUCAAUUAAGAAAACAAUUAUAAUGGAAGGUGAAAAGUUGAUUAAUUGAAUCUACACAUUUUUUGGCCUACUUAAAAUAACAUAAAUAGAUAAAUGAAGGGGGAAAAUCCCAAAAAGGAGAAAAAAGAGAAAUAUGAACGGAGGUCAUAAAUGUGCCACGUCACCUCCUCUAUGACCUUUCUUUAUAUUAUAUAUAAUUGAUACUUCAUGACAAAUGAGUAGUUGAUUAUUUGUAAUUGUAACGAUCACGGGUUAAACUACGACUAAUUUCUCAAAUACUUAAUUAUGUUGAAUUAUUUAGUAAAGUUGAUUAAGUUAAUUUGAAUUGAUAAAAUCAUAUCAAUUGUGGAUAUUUCUUUACAAAGUCACUUAACUUAGUAUUAUAUCAAUAAAAUCACCCAAUUUUAAAAUUCUCAAAGUCACUUUAGUUGGAUUUGUCACUUCCAGACUUGAUAAAAUACUUUUAUUUUUCAUGUGAUGUGGAUCAGAGAUGAAUCUAGAAUUUCUAGAUAAUGAGUGUACCACAAAGAAAAAAGAAAAAGAAACACGUAUUAAGUGGUAAUUGAUGUCUAAUCCUCUCUCUAUAUAUACAUAUAUACCCAUACUAGUGCACUUGGUUCAAUGUUGUGAUAUUUAUCUAGAGGGUUAGAGAUCAAUUACCACUUAAUACAUAUAUAAAAUCUAAUUUUACAAAAAGAUCAUGAGUUCACGUAUCUCAUUUUUAAAAUAUAAAUUCACUUAUGAAAUAGACCUGAACCCACACUAAAUGAUACAAUAUCCAAAAAUCGAGCAAAAACAUAAAUAUCUUUGUACAACGUAUUAAAUUGUAUCUAGUGUGUAAAUAUUCACUUGCACUUUAUAUGAAAUAUAACAUAAAGCAUUUUCUUCAAAUUAACAAGGUAAUUCAUAUGCUGAAUUGUUUAUAUUCUUUCCUUAUACUUGUGAGUCAAUAUUGCUAUAGUUACGAUUGGCAAUCAUUUGUUGGCUCGAGCUACUGAGAAAAUGAAAGAAUUUUUUAUAACGUUAACUAGUUAUAACGAAAUUUCACUAUAGUAACUUGAUUUUCUUUUAAAUCAUUUUUUCAUGUUAUAUUUUACUUCUCUAUAACAACAUUAUAUUUUUAACAACAAUGACAUUUGUUAUAAUGGUACACUCUUUAUAAAAUUACCUCUUUAUAAUAACAUAUAUACUUCAAUAUUAUGUAAUAAUAUUUUAUGAAAAAUAUAUUAUCAAAACAUUUGUGGUAAUCAUCACUAAUGUCACGAAUAUAGUAUAUUUCAAUUACAAAUAUCUAAUUUAAAGAAAAAAUUAUUUAAAUGGUGCACAUUAAUUAUUUCAUAACUUCACAAGAAAAAAACUAUUAAUGUUUGUCUUUCAUGUUCUUUUUAAUUUUGCAUAUUUUUGUUUAUAAUAACUAAAUGAGAUCUGAAUAUCAAAUAUCAAAUACAUAUAUAAUAAUACCUCUCUCUAACAGUAAUGAAAUUUUCGAAUAAAUAGUGUCACUAUAAAGAUAUUUGACUGUACUACUAUUACUCAACUAAAAAUGAUAAGUCUUAUCAAAAUACCAAUAGAUAUACUUGAUUUCAUGGUGCUAAUAAUUUUAUUCUACGUACAAAAAUAGGUAAAAUAUAAUCAAUGACAUACAUCUUUGACUAUCUAUUGGUUGACCAAAUCUAUGAUCAUUACAUCUCAAGGGAUCCAGCUUAUUAAAUAUUAAUUAGUGUUAUCAGUUCAAAGUUAUUGUUAACUGUGCAUAUAUUUACAAAAAUUAAAAUUACAGAAACUAUCAUCCUUAAAACUAUAAUUAUAAUAAAUAGUAACACUUUUUUAAAAUUACAACUUAUAUCAAAAGUAACAAUAUUUUACCCACUUCAUAGUAAUAGAAGAAUGUGUAUUUUCCAGUUGUGCAUAUGUAUUUAUGAGUAAUACAUAUAUAUUUGUAUACGUAUUUAUAUAGCAACAUUUUACUUAAAUACAAAAUACAAUUUGCUACUUUUCGUAAUUAUGAAACUGUUGCUAUAAAAAUUAUAAUUAACGCUACAAAGUUGCUAUUUCUGAAAUUUUCUCGUAUCACAUUUGUUAAAUGUUUCCAUAUUUAAAACAUAUGCAUUUUAAAAAGUAUGUGAGUUAAGAGUAAACCUCUUAUGAGUGCUAGAAUGCGCGACUGAUGCAUAAAAAGCGAAACUUUUCCAUAAACUCAAAAAAAAAUCUGAAAAAUUUCUCACUUAAAAUGGAGAAAUGAAAGAAGAAAAUCAUGAGUUACACAUAUUCAAUAUAUAACUAUGCAAAAUCUUUACCUAACUAAAAAAGGACUCACCAUUUGAGAUAGAAUUCAUGACAGAAACCAGGCUUGCAUUUAAACGCGAAAUGGGGAAGAGUAAAGCAUCUAUUACCCCUCUGAAUUAUGACUAAAUUUGCUACGGCACACUCCAAUUUCACAGAGAUUUAUUACCCUCUGAACUCAAUUUUAGUGUAUUUUUAUUAUCCUUUUUAGCUGAUGUGACACUUUUUAGCUGACGUGGGCCCCAUUUCUAUAUAAUAAAGGUGUCAUGUCAGCACAAAAGGAAAUAAAAAUAUGCUAAAAUUGAGUUUAGAGGGAAUAAGACUCAUGUGAAGUUGGAGGUGUCAUAGUAACUUUGGCCAUAGACCAUAGUCUAAGCGAGUAGUGGAUGCUUAUCUCAAUGGGAAAACAUGCCAUCAAUGGAUUUUUGCUAUAAAACUGAAACUGUCGUUAUGCAAUGAUAAUUUUUUUUCAAGCUUCGCUAUAUCUUUUAUAUCUGACUAUUGGGUCGCAUCUUUUCGAUUGUAUUAUUUAGUGUAAAAUUCAGGUUUACAUAACAAAAAAAUUACUAGCUUAUUAUGUGAAGUGAGAUUUUACUGACUCUUGAUGACGUCCAAGCAACAUCUCCUUUCAGAUGAUGAUACAGUCGUUAUCAAGAUAUAGUAACCCAACAAAGGUUGAGGUCGAAUCCCAAGGGAACACGUGGCUUUGCAGAUCUCAACAAUUGCAGUCAAUGGGCAGAACAAUAAAAGCAAAUGAGGGGAUUGUUUGUAGUAAUAUCGAGAAAGAACAGUAUUAACUUAGUUGCAAUCAAUCAUAAGUGAACACCAGGAUUGUGUUCCCCUAGCUUCUUAACUCCGUAGGCUUAUCAUGCGUUGUUGAACCAACCCAAUACCUUGCAUGUAGAAUCAAUAAGUUAUGUACCUUCUACAGUCUUUCGGGCGAGUAGAAGGAUCUUACCCUUUACCUUUUGAAUCUCAGGGUGUCGCACUACUAACUCUUAUCUUGAUCCCAGUUAACUAUUAUCUUUUGAAUCUCUAGUUAUUAGAUGAAACCUAACCAUAUUACUAAGAUAUGACCUAGAAGUGUGGAUUGACAGUUAAGCUCCAAAUUACCGUUGUAUUUAUCUUUUCCUAGACACUACUCCUCUUUUAGAGUAAGUAGCAAUGUCUAAGCGGGAUCCUAAUGUGUGCACCCAUUAAGAAAUCUGUUAUAAUGAAUAUAAAGUAAUACAUGUUGUGGGUAUUGGUUCAGAUCAACAAACGCGCUUCCCCUACAUCAUCAAUUCGCCAGGGUUUGCACAACCCUAGCUAUGAAUUUUAGCUGCUCGUGAUUGUGAAGGAAUCAAUGACAUUUAUAAGAGAAAGCAUAGAUGAAAUCACAAUGAUAAGAAGUGUGAAAACCCACAACCAUAACUGAAUAAAUCAACUAAAGUUAAUACAAGAGAAUUCAAAGAGAAAAAUCAUAUCUUGGAAUCAAAAUAUGUUUCUGAGUAUCAAAAGUAUGUAACUCCUACUAAAAAGUACAUAAGGGAUAUUUAUAGUAAAAGAGGAAACCCUAAAAAUAAAGCCUGAACAAAAUAGGAUAAAAUCUGAUCGGUGGUCACAUAUGGUCUGUACCCGCGGUUUGGCCCCGGGCGCAGGUACUACCUGCAGUCCAAUUACUAGGCGUAGGUACAAACCCAGGUACCGAAAGAAAAAAUCCUGCAAGUUCAACUCUCGGGAUUUUGGACUUUUGGUCUUUCUUUGCCUACAUGUGGUCCAUAGGUCCUACUUGCAGCCACAUGUUGACUUAGUAAGUACUGGGAGUUAUUUUUUUAGAUUUUUUUCAAUUCUCGAAUAUGCUUUGAUCACGAACAAGCUGAAAAACAUCUUGAAUAUCCCUAAUUGCUCCAAAAAGUAGCCAAAGAUACCUUUUUUUUCACCCUUUUCAUGAACUUAGCAUCCAAAACAUGGUUUUCUGGCAAAUCAUACCCAAAACAGAUCAUAUUUAACAAAAUAGCCUAAAAAAGUUGCAUAUUUUUCCCGUUUUAAGCGUCGAAAAUGCUAUAUUUCUAUAGCACAUCAACAGCCUCAACUUAGAACAUUUGUAUGUCCUCAGGCAACAAAAGACAACAAAAACAAAAACAACGCUUAACUAGGAGAAUCUAAGUCAUUCAAGACAGGCAGUCAUCACAUUAAGUUCAAAUCACAACUCCCCCUCCAAUCUCACUUGUCAAAACCAACUAUGUAUGAACAUGAAGUACAACAAUAUGACUUAAUGGGAUCAAGGUAUGACAAUUACAUUAGCAAUAAACAAUCAUAUAUACAAAUUACACUACCCGAAAUAAGCUAAUGGCUAGAAAUAUGACUCAAGUGCCCUCACAAUAAAGAUAUCCCACUCACUCAUCUGAAAUAAUACAUGUCAAUGCAGGGACUAUCACAAGACACUCACACUCAACAAAGAAGUUCCAGUCAAUGCAUGUCAAAUACCAUAGGCUUACCCUUAUUUUUUUUCCCUCAGCAUUCAGAUAAUCAAAUUAGGAUCACUAUACGACUUUUUCAGCUUGUAAUGUAGGCUUGGGAAUGGUAUGAUACAUAUGGAUAUUUAAAGUAACUAAGCAUCCUUGGCACUACACUAACUUUGGGGUUUCACUUAUUAGCCAAUUUUUACUUUAUUUCCUCCCUCAUAUCUCCUUUUUUAUUUUAAAGCACAUUCAGGUUGGGUACGGUCUUUUAUUCUUUCUUUUUCAUUUUUUCACAUUUUUUUUCUUUUUUUUUAUUUUCUUUUUCAACCACACCCAGCCCUACUAACUUUUUCUCUUAUUUUACUCUUCUACAUACCCACUUUAUACUACGCACCCCUAUGAUAGCCACCCUCAACUUAGACAUUUUUCCUGAGUUGAGGUGCACAAUGUCCAAGGAAGACAAGAGCCAAAAUAGGUUCAUUGUAAUCUAAAUGAGAAGGUGAAUAGGUGAAAUAAAAAAAAUAGGCUAUAAGGAUCAAAACAAGGAUCAAUGGAUAUAAUGCACACAUGGAAGGUCAUUUAGGCUAAAAGUGAGUUGAAAUAAAAAAUGGUUUAUAAUCCUUUCCUAACUGAUUAUCCUUAAACCGAGGCAAAACUAACCAGGAAAAUUUUGAAUUCAACACACAAAAGGAAAUUGGGUAGUAUCUCACACACACAUGGAAUAGAGUCAAUAUCACCAACUACUACCUAUCUAAUUCAUGCAAUUGUCAGCAAGUGAUUAUUAUGUCCCUAAUCCUAAUGCCAUAGCAAGAUCUACAAAGUUCACACAUAUAUACAUCUACACAGUUCUAAAACACAAAAUUUUAGAGGGGUAUCAAAAAUCAGUCAAAACAUGAUUACUGUCCUAAAAACUUAAAAAUCUUCUAAUUACACAAAAACAACACAAUACAAAGAAAAACACAAUACGAUACAAAAUUAUUCUAGACAUGUCGGUUCUACAAUCAUACCGCGACCGACAGGAAAAGAAGCAUGACUACAAAAAUCCGCGGUGGCAUGGUAUGCCCACCCCCAACUAAAAACUACGCACUAUUCUUAAUGAGCUAAAACAAAGUGAAAUAGAGAGAAGUGAGAACAUACCUAGGACACACUAAGCGCUUGAAUUAGAAGCAUCCCCAGAUGGGGGCAUAUCAGCUGGUAGAGGCGGUGGUGGUGCUCUACUGGUAGAUGCACCCACUGCUAUAGAUGCACGCCUCCUCUUAUUGACAAAUGCAGUCUUCAUAGAAUCAUCUCUGGCCCUUUUAAUGACCUAAUAAUAUGGUAUAGUAGGAUCCUACAAGUCAUAUAUGUGACCUCUCUUGGUCCCAACUAUUGGAACCUCAUCAACAUCCUCUACAAAAAAUUCAAACUAUCUUGGUGCGCGUGAAGGUGAUAUCUAAACCACCUGGGGUAUAUUUGAGGGAGCGGCAGCAACACGACUCUCUAUAAGAGAGCGUACCUCUGCUCGUAGUAUAUCAAAAUCCUUCCUUAUCUGGCUAGAUUUGGUGUAGUUGUCUCUGUAUAUCGGGCUAUAACCCGUCUCUCAAACUCAUCAAGCCAUGUCUGAAAAUUAGCACGUAGCCCGGAUAAUACAGUACUCAAUGCGGCCUCUUAUCAGGCCUCCGCCUAAUCAAAUCUAGUCCUAACUCAUAAUCUUAUUUGCUCAUAAAGGGUAGUCAUAUCAAUCUCAAUAACCCUCACUCUAGCAUCGGUGGCCCUUUGGCUGUCCACUAAGCUCUACAAAAAUUUGCUAGAUAUAGUAAUCAUGCCUGAUGCACGAGCUGUAGUGGAUGGAUGAGUAGGCUCUAUAUAUGCACCAACCGGCUCUGAGGUUGAAACUGAGGCUGAAGAAGAGGUAGUUUGUGUCCCCUCACCUUGUGUACUUAAAUCAGGAGCCUCUCUCUGUUCCUCUAUCUCCAUGUCAAUACUACCACCCAUAUCCCCUCGAUGUACCUUAGUAGGCUUUGUGGAAUCUACUGGGCCCUCAGACUGAGCCCAUGGUACUGGUUUUUACUGUCUUGAUCUCCUAGAAAUGCCUGGAGAUGCCAGACCCUUCAUGGUCCUCGUCUAUGCAGUUGCCAUUGUAGAAACCCUCUCGUCUACACCCAAUAUCUCAGGCACACCGGCCUCAUCAUACAUCCUCUGAAUUAUGUAAGGGAAAAGUAGAUUAUUCAAUUCCCCAAAUGCUCUAUCAUGCAACUCAUAGAGAAUAAUAGCAACAAAAUCAACAUCAUAACUGGCCAUCAGACAAACAACCAGUGUUGCUCCUUUCCACGUCAAUGUAUUAUCUAAAGCAGUGGGUAUCAGUUUGUAGCUAAUCAGUAACCACCAAAACUUGGAAUCCAAUGUCAAUAGGCCACUCUUGAUCAUAACUUACCCCUCAAUCAAUGGGUCAUAUCACCUAAUGGUGAAAUAUAACUAGCUAUCCACCUAGCUAUCUCAACCUUCUCUCGAUGGUGCUUAGCCCCCCGUAUGGUAUGUCGAUCACGUGUGAUUCCUAAGUUGUGGUCACACUCAACUGUAGAUGCAUGAGUGAUGUAAUCUGGGUCGAAGAUAACUCUACGAAUAGUCGCCUCUAUAAUAGCAACUCUUACCCCUCUAACCAGUGUAUGAUCAAGCUGUAGCUGUAGCACAAAUCUCACAAAGCCUGGAUAUCUGGACAUAAUAAAGACUACGAUAGCUCUGUAGUAUGCAUAAAAUUCCCGCUCCAUAGCCGGGAUAUAGGAACUGAGUGGUCUGGUCAUCCAUUUUAGUUGAUAUCUAUCAAAUGCCAUCUGUAACUUGGUACUCGAUCUAGCCCCAAUAAGUGUCACACCUUUUUUUUCGCCCGAAGGGAUCGAGGUCGAAUGAUUUUUCCAAUUAAAGUGACGGUUUUGAAUAGGGAUUAAUUUAUUUCCAGAAUCGCCACUUGGAAUUGAGUUAUGGUGUCCCAAGUCACCUUAAUGAGUCCCUAAUCAAAAGGAAAUGACUCUUCAUUUUGGUUUGCGAAAACAUAAGAUCAGGUAAGAAAUUUUGUUGAUCGAGGGGAAGGUAUAAGGCACCCCUUGAGUCCCGUGGUUCUAGCACAGUCGCUUUAUCGACUUAUACUUAACUUAAACUAUUUGAUAAAUUAUUUUUGAAGGCCUAAGUUCGCUCAUUUUUUAUUAUACUAAAAUUUGUCAUUAUCAUAUGUUAAAUAUCAAAGAAAGUUAAUUUUAGAAAAAUAUUUAUCAAGGUGCAUUAUUGCAUCCUUGAAUUUUAAAAUGUCCCGAAAAGAUGUGUACGCCGCAUUCUUUAUUGAGACAAAAAAUUUAAAAGCUCCUAAAACUUUCCUAGCGUUAGAGGCAUUGGUUUGACUCUUGUAUACUCGUAACAACUUUAUUCAUUCGAAAUGCUACUUAACCUUAACCAUAACCUUUAAACAAAAUUCAUUCAAGGCAAUCAAUUAAUUUAAAUAUCAAGGUAGAUAAGAUACAAAAAAGGUAACGGACAGUAGCUAAACAUACACGAUAAAGGUAACGGACAGUAGCUAAACAUACACGAUACUGAUUCAAGUCUUGUUACUAUGUGACUAAUAAAAUGUUAUAAGAAUAUAUCAAAAUGAACUCAAUUAGAAAUAAUAUAACAAAUCGACUAAAGACCCAAAUUUUAUUAAAUUAAUUCUCUUUUAAAGUCAUUUUUUUAAAUAAAAAAAUACUACUAAAUUUGAUUAUUUUAAACAAAUAUGUAGGAGUCUACUUUUUAUGUGAACUAUAUCCCUCCUAUCUAUUAAACCUUAAAGUAUUUUGUAAUGCCCUUUUUUUCAAUUUUUUUUUAAAAUAAUAAUAAUAAUAAUAAAUAACUAAAACGAAUUCUGUAUCAUGCACUGAAACAUAUUACAGUGGAAUCAAACGACUAGUCAUAUGAACUCCAAGGGUACAUAAAAAUAUUUUUUGGAAUGGACAUUCGCACAAUAAAAUUUUGAACUUCUAUGCAAUCAAUUAAAAGACAAAUCUAAAUAGAAAAGUGAGAAUAUUGGACCUUCAGUGAUUCUCGGUAAAUGAAAUGAAAAAAUAUUUGUGGAUUUCGAUUGUACCCGAAUUAUAUAAUUUUAUUUUUCUAUAUAUAGCAUACCCACUUCAACAAAUAGACGAAAUAUAAGAUAAACUAACAAUAUUUUAUAAAUAUAACAUGUGUAAUAAAGAAUGAACAUCACAUAAAUAAUCAACUCUAUAUGUUAAAUGAUAUAGAAAAUCACGGAGAUAAUUUUGUUCAUAAUUUGAUUCACAAUGAAAAAAUAAAUAAGAAUUAGGUAAGAACCUGUAUAAUGAACUAAACCAAAAGAAAAGCCCUAUUAUCGUUGACGGAAACUCAAACUGAAACCCAAACUCGACUUGUCACUUUUUCUUUUCUUUUCUCUCUCUAUAUUUUUGCCUCCAUUUCCUUCUCUUUUCUUUCUUGUUUUGUUGUUCUCAGUCCAUGUCUUACUAUUAUGUUGUAUGUUUUCCUCCGUUCUUUCUUUCUGUGUUUUUUCUCUUUUUCUUCCCUUUCUUUUUGUUUUUUUUUCCUCAUAGUUUUCUUGUUGAUUUUUUAUUGCCUUAUUGAUUUUUGUUGUCUGGCCGUGUGUCUCUUCUCUCUGUAGAGUGUUGUAGGAUGUGUAUAUAUAUAAGUGUGUAGGAUUGAGAAGUUGAGGGAGUUGAGAGAAAUUAGGGGUGGUUAGGGUUGAUUAUUUUAGGAUAAUGAUUCUUUUUUUAAUUUAAAAUAAAUAAAUUAUAUAUAAAAUAAAUAAAUAAUAAUAAUAAUAAUAGUAAUAAUAAUAAAAAUAUUAAAUAAUUAAUUUUUUAUAAUUAAGAAAAUAUAAUAAAAAUAUAACUAAUCUAAAAUAAAAUAUAAAUAAAAUAAAAUAAAAUUACUAGCAUAUUUUAAAAAAAUAUAAAUUAAAAGAAAAAUAUAGUUUUUUUUUUGAAAAUUUUUCAUAUUAUUUAAAAAUAAAAAAAUAAAAAUAAAAACAUCCUAAAAAUGUAACUUUAUUUUUUGAAUUUUUUUUUUCACAAUUUUUAAAAUGAAAUUCUACUAAAAAGUAAAAUAAGAACAAAAGAUAUCAUUGGAUAAAAAAAAAAUAUUUAAUGCCAAAAAAUAGGUUAAGACUCGGGGAAGGUCAAAAAUCACGUGUCUACAUUUUCCCCCUCUUUGUGUGAAAUAUCGAAGAGUUUUUAUACAAAAAAGUAAGAAAAGAGAUGAUUUUUAAUCCUCUGAUUAUUCAAAAAAUGAGGAAAAAGGAAAAAAAAAUGCGACCGAGUCCUGAUUUUGGACAGCCUACAUAUCUCGGAUUUUAAGGGAAUCAGGUCAUGUGUAGUUCAACGAAGUAAAAUGGUGUAACAAUGAGUUAGAGUCUGAGCCAGUUCUGUCGAGUUCCCGGUUCACGCCAUUCUACUUUUACAUUGAAAUGAAUAACUAAAAAAAUAAAAUGAAGAUACAAGUGAAAUAUCCUAUCUAUGCUGCUUUGUUUUUUACUUGAAUUUUCAUGACUUCUCAAAUGAUGAGAUAGUCAUUAUUCUGAGUUAAACUUGAUACACGAAAUGUUCCUCCUCGUUGACUUUUGGCAUUAGAGGGAAACUUGACAAUUGGUUUAUUCUUCAGAUUUUCUUUUGGCUUGGACUUGAAAAUCUUCACCCUAUUCUUCAGGUGGGUUUCUGAACUUGCAACUGAAAAUGUUCACUCUAUUCUUCAGGCGGGCUCCUAACUUGUUACUUCUUCACCCUAUUUUUCAGGUGGGCUCCUGAACAUGCAACUUCCUGUUCUUUAGGCGGGCUCCUGGACUUCCUGUUUUCUUCACCCUGUUCUUCAGGUGGGCUCCCAGACUCAAAGUAAACAGUAAAACAAAAAAAUAGCAUCCCAUUCUUCAGGAAGGUCCUGAGCAAAAAAUAAAUUCCCAUUCUUCAGAAGGGUCCUGAGUAGAAAGUAAAAUUUAAUAAACACGAACAGAAUGUUUGCCCCAGUUUGUACAUAGAAAAUGACUCGACUAAAAGGUAUGUCUUAUAGGAAUCAAGAGAAAUAACUCGACUAAAAGUUACAUCUUAUAAGAAUCAAGGGGAUGACUCGACUAAAAAGUACGUCUUAUAGGAAUCACUGGGAGUGACUCGACUAAAAGGUUCGUCUUAUAGGAAUAAAGAGGAUGACUCGACUAAAAGGUACGUCUUAUAAGAAUCACGAGGAGUGACUCGACUAAAAGGUUCGUCUUAUAGGAAUCAAGGGGGAUGACUCAACUAAACGAUUCGUCUUAUAGGAAUCAAGAGAAAUGUCUCGACUAAAACGUUCAUCGUAUAGGAAUCACGAGGAGUGACUCGACUAAAAGGUUCAUCUUACAGGAAUCAAGGGGAUGACUGUGGAAAUGAGGCAUUGCAGCCCUUGAUAUUUAUGCUCUGAAGUCCUUAAUUUGAAGGUAAUAUAUUUCCUAUUUCAUCAAAGAAAACUUGUGAGUUCAAAAACAUGGUGGCAGGUUUGUGGCUUUAGCUUCCGUUGCAAUCACUCUUGCUCUCGUCACAUUUAACCUUGCUUCCAACUAUUAGCAUCUAUCACCGACUUGCUGCAUCGUUGAUCCAAACUCAGAUUAUUAGAAGUGACUCUGAAACAAACACAGUAUCUUUGCUUUGCCAUGCUCCUCAAAUAAACCCUUUAAACCUUGGUAUUUUCAAGAGUUUUUAGACUCGUCUGUUGACAAAACUUUUCUGCAUGCCUUAUUUCGGCUCAAAAUUAUGUCUCUUUUAUGUGUUGACUUUUGGUCUUGCUUUGUAUAAUUGAAAAAGCUGGUAGCCAGUUUUGAAAUCUUUUCUCACUUAUUAUGACACGGACUCGACUUAGAGACACAAGAAAAAUGACAAUAAUUUUUAUUUGAUGAUAAAGAUACCAAAAGAUCAAAAAUAAAAAAAUAAAAGGAAAAAACAAUAGGCAUUUUUUUAAAAAAAACGACAGAAGAAAACUUAUUUGGGUGUGGUAGCUGAUUCCAGCAAUCAUGACAUGCAUUUUGAAUUAAACAACUUGAUCUACCCACACUAAUUAUAGCAACUCUUGUCCAUUUAUUGAGUUUGAAAUGAAAUCAAUCUUGAAUAUGCUCCCUCUAGAUCACAAUCCUCCUUCGGCUAGUGGCACCUCAAUGGGUUUUUGCCAACGCCUAUCUCAUUUUCAUUUCUUUCUUAAUUCACUGUCGCCUUAUGGUGCCCAAAAGGGUUUUCACCAAUAAGACUCUCUCAUUUUUACUCAUUCAUUUUUUUCAUUCAUUUUUUUUUUAAAAUAAUGCCCAAUAUACGAAACAUCAUGCACCCAUAACAUUUUUAGCCUUGAAAUUCUCAAAGAUCGAUCUGAAGGUCUUUUUUUGGUUGUAACUUGACUUUUCAAAAAGGUUAGAAAGAAAGGGAGGCAUGAGGCUAAAAAAUUUACAUAAUAUUGGGUGAAACAUACAACUUUUGGAAUCGACUCUGUUAAAGAAAUAAAUUUUACCCCAGUUUCAUUUCAUUCUGGGUAAUUUGAAUUUUUUUUUGUUUGGACCAAAUCCCAGAGUAGGGUUGCCUACGUAUCUUGUCAUAACAAGAAUCAUGUCAAACAUAGUUCAAAAAUCUUGUUAUUUUGCUUGAUUUUUUGACUUUUCUUUUUUUUUGAGAGAGAGAUUUUUUCCGACUCCAUUUUUUUCUUGACACUUUUCUGAUACUAUUUUUUUCUUGACACUUUUCUUUUAAAUUUUUCUUUUUUAGACUCUAUUUUGAUUCCAAAAAAGGGAUAUAAAAGAAAUAAAACAAAAGCUCAAAAGGGAUAACAAAGGAUGACACAACAUUUGGAUAGUAGAAUGAAAUGCCUUUGUCAUAUCAAUCCUUAACAAUGUAAGCACAUAACAUGUAAUCUAGGAACAGAACAUGAAUAUCAUACGCAUAUUUUUAAUAUUAACUGUGACUAAGAACAUGCACGUGUGUCAAUUAUUUUAAACUUGUAAAUCAUACAGGUCUACUUGUAUUGUACUUUCCUCACAACAGAUGACUCUUUUUUUUUGUUUUUUGAGCUAACUUCCUUUUGCUUCUUCUGACAAUAGAAACUAUAUAUCCUCUGGUUGAUCUCAUUAAAAAAGGCUUGGGUUGAACCUUCUCAUUGAAGAUCAAUUCAUUCUUUAUUCGCAAAGUGAUUGCCUCAAAACAUUUAAGUGAGGAUGUAACUAGGUCCCCAAAAUAUCUCAACACUUUACUUAUUUUUCUUACACAUUUUUUUCAGCUCUAGGUUCUUGAUCGAAUGUUUCAACAUUAGAUUGAGUUUUAAGAUCUAGAUUAAAAUUCAACAUGCUUAUCUAUUACCAGAAUCACCAAAGAAAGAGCUCUUUGAAGAAAAAAAAGAUGAUAUAUAUUAAGAAAAAAAAAUAAAAGGGACACGCAUUUUGUUGACAGAAAGAUAGAAAUGUUUGAAUAAAAAUGAUAAUAAAAUCAGACAAGAUAGGUCCUAAACUACAACCCUAAAAUAAUUCGGGUAACAGAAAAGAAAAGAAAACAAACUACUAGACCUCUUCCUAGCAGAGAGAGGAGUGACUUCCCAAUUACUGAGCUUGACCUCUUAGCCACCAAUUUGCAUACCAUCAUGAUUAGAUCUUUUCUCAUUGUCAAUGUUCUGCAUUAUAAUUGAUCUAUCUUUAAUCAUCUUUUCAAUUUCUCUUUUUAAAUCUCGACAAUCUUCAAUACUAUAACCCUGAGCAUAAGAAUGAUACGUACAUCAUGCAUUAAUAUCAAAAUUUCUUGAACGGGGAUUAAGAGUGUGCCCAAGGAGAGGAGUAAUCAUGCCUUCCUAUACCAAUCUCUAAAGUAAACUGGCAUAUGACUCUCCAAUUGGUGUGAAGCUAUCUCUCAACUUCUGCCUCAUUUCAUUAUUUGGUUUGGAUAAAACAUCGAGCCUAGAAGGGCUUUGGUAUAUUUAUGGAAUUGGAGGAUGACUCUGAGGAGUUAGUGUGCGCUAUUGUGGGUAAGAUGGGGGUUUAACAUGUGGUUGUGCAUUAUACAUUGGAUAUAAAGGUGGGGAACUGGAGUAUAAUGGACUUUGGAGGUGAUUAUGUGGAUCUUGGACAUGAACUUGGGCUUGAGCCUGAGAGCGAUGAUGAUGUGGUCUUCUUGACUGCUCCCGCUAUCCAACUACAAUAGUAAGUGCAUCUUCCUCAUUCUUCUUCUCCCCAACACUUCCUGAACCUUUUUGAAUUGCUUGAGUAGUUGCUUUUAAUGUUGCAAAACUCAUAAUGCGACCACACUUAAUUCUGUCUUCUAUUAUCUCUCCUAUUUUGAGGACCUCAAUAAAUGACUCGCCUAAUGCAGGUAACAAAUGUUGAUAAUAUGUUUCAUUCUGCGCUUGAAUAAACACCUCCACUACCUUGCUUUCUUUCAUUAGCGAUUUUACCCUAGCCGCUUGUUCAUGCCAUCUAAUUACAUACUCACUGAAAUUUUCAUUGUUCUUCUUCUUCAUAUUAGUCAGGGAUUUCUCAUCAGGAAUCAGCUCGACAUUGUAUUGAAAUUGUUGCAUGAAUUUAUUGGCCAAGUCAUCCCAACUACUCCACUUGUCAAUGUCUUGAUCCACAAACCACUCUGAGGCUAAACUCGAAAGGAUCUCACCGAAAUAAGCCAUGAGUAAUUCUUUUUUACCUCUGACACAUCUUAAUUGGUUACAAUAACACCUCAAGUGUUCUAUUGGAUCAUCGCGCCCUUUGUACUUGUCAAAUUUGGGCAUUUUGAACCCUAACGACAAAUGGACAUCCGAAAACAUACAUAAAUCUUUGUAUGAAACACUUUUUGGUCCUCCUAAUCCUUGCAUAUUUCACAUACUCUGCUCUAAGCUUUUUACUUUCCUAGCCAUCUCCUCUUGUUCCUCAUUCUUAACAAUCUUCUCAAUCACGAUAGGAGAAUCGUGUUGAUGAGCAUGAUAUUGUGGAUUUUAAGGUUUGAAAGUCAUUUCAGGAAAAUAUAAUGGAUCAUGACUUAGUUCCUCCAUAUUCUUAUGUGUUGUCGACUGAAGGCCCACAGUAGUUGGUGCUACAAAAGUGAAAAGUGGGUUAUUUGUGAUAGAAAAAUUUGGUGGAUGCAUAGUAGAAGUACCAACAAAGCCAGACACGUUAACAAAUGGGCCAAAUCAUGGUGGGUAAAAUGGAUCACCAGUUUGAGCUUGGGUGGGAUUUGGAUCAUUUGUAUUUGAAAGUCCAUGGAUUGAGGAAGGUGGGGCUUGUCCAUUCAACCAAGCUUGGUAUAUUUUCAUCAUUUGUUGUUUCAAUAACUUAAUCUCUUCCAUUGAUGCUAAUUCUUGCGAAAUCAACUGAUUUUGCUCCUCCUCACUGUCAUACCCUACACCCCCUUUGCGGGUCAUUUUUCUUUUUUCCUUGUAUUUGGUGUUGUACAGAUGUGAUACCAGUUUAAACCAUAAACCAACCACCAACUACUUUAUCUUUCUGUGAUCAAGUAGCAAACGAGUGAGUGUUGCAUAUUCAACACAUUAUAAUGUCACGUUGUCUAUUAUGUUUCUAUAUGCAUUCUCCAAACUAUCAUGAAAGGUUUUGUGUUUCAUCCCGACUUUUUUUUAGGCGCACUUUUCAAAAAGUUAUGAUCGAACCCUUUGGAGGGUUGCCUACGUAUCAUGCUAGGACAUGAAUCAGAUCUUGCGUAGUUCGGAAAAAUUGGAGAUACAAAGAAACAUAUCCUUUUUUUUAAUUAUCUGAAUAAUGAGAAGCAAUUUAUUAUUAUUAUUUUUGAAUUUAUAAUAAAAAAAUAUUUUUUAUUUUUACAUUUUUUUUAUUUAGAAGGAAAGACAAUCAUUUUUUUAAGAUCACCGAAUCCAUUGAGGACUGCCUACGUAUCUCAUUAAGAGGAGAAUUAGGUGUGCGUAGUUCUUGAAGUAUAUGUCAUACAAAAUUCAGCCUCAAGACCCCUAAAAGUUCAGGGCUGUUAACAUUUUUAUAUAUAUAUUUUUGUAAAAACUUAGCCUCAUGAUCCCUAAAGAUUCCGGGCUAACCUAAAAUAAAAUAUAAAUAAAAUAAAAUAAAAUAAAAUAAAAUUACUAGCUUAUUUAAAAAAAUAUAAAUUAAAAGAAAAAUAUAGAUUUUUUUUGAAAAUUUUUCAUAUUAUUUAAAAAUAAAAAAAUAAAAAUAAAAAUAAAAACAUCCUAAAAAUGUAACUUUAUUUUUUGAAUUUUUCUUUUCACAAUUUUUAAAAUGAAAUUCUACUAAAAAGUAAAAUAAGAACACAAGAUAACAUUGGAUAAAAAUAAAAAUAUUUAAUGCCAAAAAAUAGGUUAAGACUCGGGGAAGGUAAAAAAUCACGUGUCUACAAUAAGUUAAUUCGACUCUCCUUAUAAAUGCACCUCGUAGUCCUACCUAGAUCCUAAAUAUGACUAUCAAACUCAAAUAUAUUUCGCAUCCCUACCAUACACCACUUCGGAGGUUGCUUCUCGGGAGGUGCCUCUGGGUAUGUGGAGGUGCAGGGCUCUGUCCCUACUGAACUGAUGCAUCAUGGGAAGGUUGCUCGAUACCCUCCUCAGAUUGGGGUACCUCUUUUUACUUCACAUGAGUGGCGGUACCUUCCUUAGACUAGGGCACCACGGAUGACUGCUUCUGCUCAACCUCAUCUGAUGAAUCCUGGGACCCCCCCCUCAGACUAGGGAUCUUGAGUAGAAAUCUGUGUAGUAGAUCAAGACUUUGUCUUAUCCUCAUCAUCAUCAUUAGGUGGAAGUGUGUGUGUGUAUGUGGGGGGGGGGUGAUAUUCAUGCAGAUUUUAUCCUGGACCAAGCUGCAGUUGUCUGAGCAGCCUAGCGAGUUUGCCCUCCUGUAACUCUGCGUGUCACCCCUAUGGUAGUGUCUCUAUGUCGCUGCCUCGGGUACUUUUCCACUGAACCACUAUGAUCGAGAGACUUUGCCUGUCUCCUCGAUUUGCAAAUAAAAAUGAGAAUUGAGAUGGAAUUGCCUUAUUGAACUCAAUUGUUGAAAAAUGGGAAGUAACACUACAAAACACAUAGGAUCAACAAUGGAAAUUAUUUUUCUUUUCAUGUUCAUCAACUCAAUUUUUGGGUGAGAUAGCAACAAUAUUGAGCGGGAUAAACAGUCACACACAUCCUCAUAAGCGCGUCCGAAUAGGAAGGCAGAGAUGCACGACAAUUUUCACACUAUUCGACCUCUAAAAGUACCCCAAAAAAUAUUUAUAAUUUUAUUCUUUUAGGAGAACAAAAACAAGAAACAUAUACGGGAAGAGAAUAAUGGCUCAAAAUCAAAAUGAUGAACAAUAGUCCCAAAAUAGGAGGAAUACCCACACGCAUAUUUAUAGUCCUCUAUGCUUGUAUUUUCAAAUACAAAUCAGUUUUACCAAAUUAGAAUUAUGUUUUUUAAUCCACAAGCCCACACCAAGCAAUAACAACGUAAACUAACUUAACAGGAAUUCACAUACAAACCUCAAUUUUUGGAAUCAAUCACCAACCACUUAAAUGAUCAAUAUUCAUACAGAAAUCUAUUUUUUUUACAACGCCGACACAAAAUUUGAUUGAAUUUAACUAAUCUAACCUGUUUACAAAAUCGGACAAAAUAAAAGAAAGGGAGAUGGAUGUGAGAUGAGCUGGAGAUACACAACUUUUUUGGAAAAAAAAAUCGAGGCUCCGAAGUCUAAGAUUUUUUCGGUGACAACUCAACUCCGACCCCUUUCUACUGUAUCUGGACUUUCGACCCCUUUCUACUCAUUUUUUCCCUUUUGACCUUAUUUUUCUCUCUUUUUCUUGUUUUUCUCUCCUAACUCCUUAUCCCCCUUUUUUCUUCUAUCUCUUUCCUUAUGCCCCCUUUUCAUGGAGAUGGAGAACUACCUAUUUAUAGGUGAAAUUCGAACAUCAAAAGUCCAAAUUUGAAACAACAACUUGAGGAGACGUAAAUAAAGAAGGAUUUGAAUUUCAAAUCUCUGAGACAAAUCUUUAGUUUUUAAAAGCUAUUGAUGGUUGGCCUGAGCCAAUUUUUCUGCCAUUCACUGUUUUAGGUUUGUAUUUUCUUUCACCGUGGUUGAUGGGUGAUGGAUUUGGUGGUAACUUACAAGCUUUGGCUGGGGACGAUAGUAGGUUGUGGUGGGGAUUAGGGUUACUAUUUUGGUGAUGGUGGAGGAUUAGGGUUACUGUUAGUAAUGGUGGAGGAGAGGAAGAAGAGAGAAGAGAGAGGAUCAUCUAUUGGGUUUUUGGGGGAAGAGACUAUCACGUGUAUUUUGAUAUUUGGGGAGUGGAAAAAGCCUUGUAAUGGGCUGAUUUUGUUGACUUAAAUUUAAACCAUCCGAUCAUUU